CAAACUUUAUUUAAAUUGGUCCCCUUCCUUCUGGAUGAUUUCACUAUCUGCUUAUUGGAAACCGGUGGGUGGUGGGUGGGAAAUAUGGCAUAUAUGCUACCUAUUUUAGAAAAAAUCAGACGGAUAUAUUGGUAUUUGAUAAAAUACUGGCCUACCAUAUUUGCCUACCAUCAAGAUGAAGUACUUGCCCUUUAAGUGAAACAAAGUCGUUUGAAGGAAAGUAGACAAAUCUCUCUUUUUGAAUGGUUAUCACUAUCUUCUUGUCUCGUGAAGAUCUGGUUUAGUAAUUUUUACUCUGGUUGAAUGGUCUUUGAGAUGGUUAGGGAGUUGGUCUUACAUGCUCCCCCUCCCUUAUGCUUGAAAUCUAGAUCUAUCUAGAUCUAAGUGGGGAAAAGCAAGAAGCAGCUGUCUAAUUUGAACUUAAUCCUUUUCUUCUGUUAUAUUAGCUGUAGUGUUAUUGUGUUGCCAUCUGAAUCAGCUGGCUGGAUGCUUCUAGUGUUGCUUCUGCCUCCAUGAAUCCUUUGACAAUUAAAUUCUUUCCUUCAGUUCUAUUGGAAAACAUGGACAUGAAGUUCUGUUAGAUAUACUUGAUUGUGCAUACACUUUGUUACUUUUCUGAGAUUCACUAUCUUCUUAUUGGAAAUUGGGGGAAAAAAACUUGACACUUGCAAGGAAAACAAGUUGUCAAGUUUUUGUUAAUGUGUAGUUAUAUGUCUUGGUUAUAUGCCACAAUUUUCUGUAAGCGUUUUAUGCCUUCAGAAAAGUUUAACGUGGUUGACAACAGUUAUUUCCAGGUCUUAGUCUUAUUAGAUGUUAAUAGGGAGAGUUGUGCUUCCUAAUCCAUGUUAUGUGUAUGAAAAGAAGCGGCCUUAUAAGUGCACUAAAAGAUAUUAAAUAUGACAUAUUUUAGCUAUUUUAGAGAAGUUAGAUGGAUAUUUUGGUAUAUGACAAAGUACUUGCUACGAUACUUGUGCUAAUUUUUGCCUCUUGCAAUUUUGCCCUCUAAGGGAAACAAAGUCAUUGUAGAGGAAAGUAAUCAAAUCUCACUUUUUAAAUGGUUAUCACUAUCUUCUUUUCUCGUGAAGAUCUGGUUUAGUAGUUUUUACUCUGGUUGAAUGAUCUUUGAGAUGGUUAGGGAGUCGAUCUUACAUAUAUAUUAUCACUAAUUAGUACUUAAUCCUUUUCUGCUGUUAUGUUAGCUGUAGUGUUAUUGUGCUGCCAUCUGAAUCAGCUGGCUGGAUGCUUCAAUGUUGCUUCUGCCUCCAGAAAUCCUUUGACCAUUAAACUCUUUCUGUCAGUUCUAUUGGAAAACAGGGACAUGCAAUUAUGUUAGAUGUACUUGGUUGUGCAUACACUUUGUUACUUUUCUGAGAUUCAAUGGCAUUGAUCGAAACUAGAUUGAGUAUUCUGAUUUUUUUUUUUUAAUCUAAAAAGUGCAAUUUGCAUAUUCUUGUUGACCAGUUUGUAACUUUAUGAGCAGGAGUCAUCUAAUGCUAUUAUUUUAGGUACACGGUCCUGGAGCUGAUAUAGAUACAUUAUGUGUUGGGCCAUCUUAUGUGAUGAGGGAGGUAAUGUGGGCACUCAGAUUCCUUUACAAGUAAGGCUAAUAAUCUUGCCUCCUAAAAUUUAGCUUUAUGUGGAUGAAGGACUUCUUCUAUGUGCUGCAUGAUAUCUUGGCUGAGAUGGAAGAAGUUGGUGAAUUGCAACCAGUACCAGAUGCGCAUGUCCCCGUCAUGAAGUUCAAGUUUGAUGGAAUUUCAAUUGAUCUUCUUUAUGCUAGUAUUGAUCUUUUGGUUGUCCCAGAUGUAAGUUUCUGUUAGCUCGUUCUACUUGUCAUCCUGGUGUCUUCUUGGUUGAAGUUGCUGAAGUGUUGCAUCGCACACUGUAUUAUUUAGCAUCUUCCGCUUUACGUUGUUAUUUUUUUCUGUUUCUAAGGGGACAAUUUCCAUUUAAAGUGGGACUGGACUGCCUAUUGAUUAAUUUUUGUCUUUUCCCUUCUGACACUUUCUUCUGUCUGCUCUGGCCCUAUCUUUGCCCCUCAUCUUACUAUUUAGCCUAGCCAUUUCUGCCAGAAGUUAUGGGUGAUCUAUAUACCUUGUUUUUACUUUUUUUUUUGGGUUAUUCAACAAAGAUGAUUGCAAAUUGAUUCUGAUGGGUGUACCUGCUGUUCUCAAUGCAGCAAAGCUAAUGUUGUGAUUUUCAUUAAUCAAUUUCUUAACAUUAUCAUUUUAAAAAGUUAAGAAACUAUUGAGUCAAUUCCUUUAGCUCUUGCUGAUGUCAGUUAAUAGUUCUCAAUCUGAAGGUUGCCUGUGUCUGUUGGAUCUUAGUGUAUUUACUAUACAUAGCCCAAAAUUCAAUUAAGUUCUGUAUGAAUAGUCUGGUAUUCAUGAAUAACUCCUGUUAUGCUUUGAUUGAAUCUUCUAAUACUUUUAGUUGCAUUCAUUUUUUUAGAGUCAUGUAGUUAAUUUUUGGAGCAUCAUUAUCAAUAGUCAGCUUGUUAGGGGAUGAGAUUGCUUUCCAUGUAUUGACUUCAUGGCUAAUUUUAUCAGGAUUUGGACAUCUCUGACGUCUCAGUUUUGCAUAAUGUUGACGAGGCAACUGGACGGAGUCUGAAUGGAUGCAGGGUAGCGGAUCAUAUACUUAAGCUAGUUCCUAAUGUUAAGGUAACUGUUUAGCUUUAUGCACAUUGCUGUGUUUAUAUUCUUAAGAGAAACUACGUUUUCUUUUUUUUUGAAAUGUCUGAGUGGUGUUUACUAGAAUUUCCGGACGGCUCUUCGAUGCUUAAAAUUUUGGGCAAAAAGGCGUGGUGUUUAUUCAAAUGUAAGUCUGGUUUUAAUUGCAGAUUAAUUUUUUUCAUCUUUGUCUGGAUUUGUUAUUGACUUGUGUUGUUUUCUCUACCUAAGGUGACUGGGUUUCUUGGUGGUGUAAAUUGGGCUCUUCUUGUGGCUCGUGUAUGCCAGCUUUAUCCAAAUGCAGUACCCAGCAUGCUGGUUUCCCGUUUUUUCCGAGUUUACACUCAAUGGCGCUGGCCAAAUCCAGUUAUGCUUUGUGAAAUAGAGGACAACGAACUUGGAUUCUCUGUUUGGGAUCCUCGAAAAAAUCAUUGGGAUCGUGGUCAUCAUAUGCCAAUAAUAACUCCUGCUUACCCAUGCAUGAACUCAAGCUACAAUGUGUCAGCUAGUACUCUGAGAGUUAUGAUGGAGCAGUUCCAAUUCGGUAACAAGAUAUGCGAGGUAUAUCAAAACUUCCACUAUUUUGGUGUCUGUUGAGCAUGCUGUUUGACAGCUUUUUGCUAAAGUUCCUCCACCCUUCUCCCUCCAAUUUUCAGGAGAUCGAGCUGAAUAAAGCCCAGUGGAGUGCUCUCUUUGAGCCGUAUUUGUUUUUUGAAAGCUAUAAAAACUACUUGCAGGUUGAUAUUAUUGCAGCUGAUGUUGAUGACCUGCGGGCCUGGAAGGGUUGGGUUGAAUCUCGACUAAGGCAGUUGACUCUGAUGGUAAUAUCUGUUGGUUCUAAAAAUGUUAUCUGUGAACGAGGCUUCAGUAACUUUUAAUUGUAGGCGCUAUUCACCCGAAACUUGACAAUUUAACUGAAGACUUUUGAAGCAAAAUUAAAUGUUCUUUUAUGCUUUUUACUCAACUUUUUUGCAGAUAGAACGAGACACAUAUGGGAAAUUACAAUGUCAUCCAUAUCCCCAUGACUAUGUUGAUUCUUCAAAGCAGCGUGCGCAUUGUGCGUUUUUUAUGGGUUUGCAGAGGAAGCCAGGAGAGGUGAUUCAGGAAGGUCAGCAAUUUGACAUACGUGGAACAGUUGAUGAGUUUAGGCACCAGAUCACUAUGUAUAAUUUCUGGAAACCGGGCAUGGAAAUAUAUGUGUAUCAUGUGCGUAGAAAACAGAUUCCUUCUUAUGUAUUUCCUGAGGGUUACAAACGAAGUCGACCUUCAAGGCUUACAAAUCAGCAGCUGGGUGAUAAAUCAUCUGAAGAAAAUGGAGAGAUUUACAGGUCUGGAUCUACUGAAAGAUGUCUAAGAAGGAAAAGGGAACUUGAAGGGUCGGAGAACAAUCAAUCGAGUCCCGAGAAAAGGCAGUCAAUUAGUCCUUGGGAGAGGGAUUCGAUAUCUCCUGAAAACGGAGAUAUUUACAGGUCAGGAUCUACUGAAGGAUGUCUAAACAGGAAAAGGGAACUUGAAGGAUCAGAGAACAAUCAAGUGAGUCCCGAGAAAAGGCAGUCAAUUAGACCUCAGCGGCGGGAUUCGAUGUCUCCUGAUCUCCUUGGUGUAAAAAAUGGCAUUGCACUGAAUGAGUGCUCGUCGACAGUGCUUGUGAGGGGGAUGGAAGGUGCUGAAGCCAAUGGACUCUGCCUGAGUGGAAGCACCUCAGAAUUGCUUUCAGACAAUUUGACAAAUGGAGGCACUGGCAUACAAAGGAAUGAGAGGCAACAGGUUGAGCAGCAGAAAGAGGUCUCUGAAGAGUUGAAUAAGCUGAAUGGUGAUACGCUUUUAGUGGAGAAUGGUAAAGCUGGAUAUAUCUUAGACACCAGUGUAUUAGCCCAUGUAAACAGUGAACUCACCAGCAAGGAUGUUGGAUCUCUGUCUCUUGCAGGUAACCAUGACAACAACCAUGGAAGUCGUGAUGGGUUUAAACUCCAGGAAUCUUCAUGGGUUGAUUCUCACAAAUCAGAUACCAAGUUGCUUGUGAACAAUCAUGGGGAAAAUAGUGCACAGUUAUAUGGAGAUGAAUUGCAGGAGUUAGAGGUUUUGGAUUUAAGUUUUCUUUGCUUAUGCGCUUGAGAUAUUUUAUUUUUUUUACCAUAAUUUCUAUUCACUCUUAUCCAUAUCCCCGACUUUGAGAGCAGGACCCCCCCCUUUUUUUUUUCUUUUUUCUGGUGAGGCCUUUUUUUUCCCCCCAUUUUUGGUUGGAUAAUUUUUGUGCUUCAGCUUGUAUUUUAUGCAUUUGUUUACCUGCAUGGGCUUCAUUUCCUCUGUUUAUUGAUUUGUGUCUUUCCACUCUAUGAAGCCAAAUGCUGCCCAUCAUGAAGUGGUGCUGAAGUCCAGGGAUGCAGUCAGCUCGGAGUCUGUUCAGAAAACAGUGAUGAGGCAUGUUCAUCAGUUUUUGUUACUUGAUUCCUUUAUGUUUAUAUGUUUUCUGGGCCAUUUUUGUCUUUAUGCUGCUGUUUGUCGGUUGUUUUAUGGCCAUUUUGUAGCCGGUUGAGUCUUACAUCAACAGCUUGAAAGAUGGUAUGGUAGACCUGCUAAUAGCCAAGAUGGUAAACAAGAUUUGAUCAUGGAUGAAGAGGGAAAGCCAGCACGUCGGGUAAGUCUAAUGUACAUUGCUGGCUUUCAUUUUCUUCUUUUUUUCCAGGCGUGCGUUUUCUUCUCAUCCUGUGGAAGGAAAAUGGAAGCAGGAAUACGAAGAGCUGGGUUGAAUUUCAGUUUCAGUGGCUUGUGUACAGUUUCAUCUUUAGUCUCCUCUAAACACCCUUACAAAGAUUUCACUGCCGGUUGAGCAGGCGUAGCUAUGAUAUAGGUUCUCUUCCACCUGGGUAUUUAGGGAAAUGACAUAAUAUGUUGGAUCAAAGUACCGGGUUGUCUGUCUAGUGGACUUUGUUUAAGGUUAGGAAGUCGUAGCCUCUGUUGGAACUGAGAUUUCUACCUCAUCCCUCUGUAAUCUUUAGCUAGGACUGAUACUGUACAUGAAUGAUUGACAGCAGUGAUUGAUAUUAUUAGGUGAAUUAGAGAUUUCUCCAUCUCUGCUUGCUUGUGCAGCCUUAGUGAUUCCUAUCACGUUUAAUUCUCUCGCGUCGUUUCUGAUGCUAAGCAGCUAUUUUCGAUCCUUUUUUUAUUUUGGCAACUGGGGAGAGAGGGUGGCCGAUGGAGAGUAACUUUUCAUGUUGGAAUUUGAUAUACCGUUGUUAGUUAUAUUGACCGAAGUGGUUUUGUCGACUAGAACUUUACCUGCACUUUGGCUUUGGAAAGUUCGGUUUCUUCAGCUCGAUUCGUUCGUGGAGUUGCCAAGUCAAAUCAUAUUUUUUUAAGCAAACUUGGUUGUAAUAAUUCUCGAGUCAACCUUGAUCAGGACGCCGGAACUAUCAUCGAUUCAAUUAACUGAAUUUGAUUGACCAUGCAUGCAUGUGUGCAUAUAUCGCCAGCUAGAAUCGAACCCAAUCGAAUAAAAUACUAUAGCAGUGAACUCUACGAGAUGAUGAAGAAGAAAAAAAAAAAAAAAGGAGAGGUUGGUUGAAAGUUGGAGACUUCUUUUGUAGGGAUUUUAGUACAAAUCGGAAGAAACGUAAAGCCGAAACUUGACACCUCAUCAAGUUUCUUUCCUCGUUACACCGGACUCUCAGCUACACUUCAACCAAGAAUCGGAUUUACCUUCUAAUCUUUUUAUCGAUAACCAUAUCCUACCCAAACUAUUACUAGAAGAAGAUUCUUUUUUAAAAGGAAAAAGGGAGAAGAAGAAGAUUGAAACAGGAUCAAUUCCCCCAUCCCAAUCCCACUUUUCCUCAUAACUUUCAGUAGCGUAAAUAUAAUAAUGUGUGUAGAAUAACGAAGUCAAAAAAUCCACUUUCUAAAACCGGUCCAUCUUAAAAAUUUCCUCUUUUUCCGUUCUUGAUUUUAUCCCCCUCCUCCUUUUUCUUCUUUCUUCUGCGCAUUUAACAUUCACAAAUCAGAUCCCGUUUCUGUUAAAAUCUGAAUUCGACAAUUGGGGCCAAUAGAAAAGCGUUAGGGACCAAAGGCAAUAAUUAAUUGUAAAUGGGAAAAGUUGCUGUGGGAGUGGCGGUGAUAGGCGCGGCGGCAGUUUGCGCAGCCGCGGCGUUGAUAGUGAGGCAUCGGAUGCGAUGCUCCAGCCGGUGGGCCAGGGCUAUGGCCAUCGUCCGGGAGCUGGAGGAGAAGUGUGGCUCGCCCGAGGCCAAGCUUAAGCAAGUUGCCGAUGCCAUGACGGUGGAGAUGCAUGCCGGCCUUGCCUCCGAGGGUGGCAGUAAGCUGAAGAUGCUCAUCAGCCACGUCGACAAUCUCCCUACUGGGUCUGUAAAUUUUUUUCAACCCAUUUUGCUUGUUUAAAUAUGUAAAAAUGUGAUCUUUUUUUUUUUUAAUUUUCAAGUUUUACAUCGCUUUUAAUUAGAGUUGUUCUUGUUUCCAUCCCUUUUACUCUAUCAAGAAUAUUGAUGCAUGAAGGAAGAAGGAUGAAAUAGUAUCUAUCCCCUGGACAUGUUUUUGACGAGAUGCAUUAUUUGACCAAAUUUGAUGACAUGCAUUUUUUGUUACCAAAUUCUUGGUUGGGAGAAAAUGAAAGCUUUUUGUCAUGCAUCGUUCUUUUCUGUGUUGAAAUUAGAUAAGAUUUUUGAAUGUUUAGGAACGUUUUUAUUAGUUUUUAAGUUUUUGUCAUUCUUCAGUGAUGAGGAAGGAGUUUAUUAUGCACUGGAUCUUGGAGGCACAAAUUUUAGAGUUUUGCGGGUUGAAUUAGGCGGGAAAACUGGUGGCAUUGUCAGUCAAGAAUUUGCUGAGGCAUCAAUACCUCCUGAAUUGAUGGUUGGGACUUCAGAGGUGAGCCCUUUGUGCGAGUUCUGCUGUUGGUUGAUUGUUUAUCUUGCUUUAUGAUGGUUUGCGCAGAUAUGUUGUCUGAACUGUUGACAUUGAUUUGUUUUCAGGCUCUUUUUGACUACAUUGCAGCAGAGCUUGCAAAAUUUAUUACUGAAGAAGAAGAAAAGUAUCAUCCCCCUCCUGGUAGACAGAGAGAAUUGGGAUUUACUUUCUCUUUUCCUGUAAUGCAGAAUUCUAUAAAUUCUGGUACCCUUAUGAGGUGGACAAAGGGAUUCUCAAUUGAUGACAUGGUAAUUUUUUCCCCGUUGUAUUUGUGUGGACCAUUCUUCUAGAAAACAAGUUGGUAUCAUCCUAAGAUGCUAUAGGAAGUCAAUCUUUAAUAAUGCCCCAAUUGCUGGACAAACAAGGCGAUCUGCAUUUAGGAAAUUAUUGUAGCGGGCUACAUAAUCACUAAUUUGUACAUCAAAGAUCAAGUUUUGUUGAAUGAAAUCCGGAAUUAUAACCGAUCUACUGUUUUCUGCUAACAUACCAUGUUUCUUUUAUUGUAUGCCUUAGUAUUAUUUUCCUGGACUUUCAUGCCAGUCUUAGUAUUUCAUUCCUUAUGGAAGAUCUUGAUUCUGAUCCUGAGUUCUUGCAUUUUCUGGAAGAUAGGUUGGCAAUGAUGUUGUCGCUGAAUUGUCAAAGGCUAUGCACAGACAAGGUGUUGAUGUUCAUGUGUCCGCUCUAGUAAGUCAUAUGAUGACACAUAAGCUCAUUUAUCAUUUUUAAUCGGAGCAGAGCACGAUGAGUUCAACUUAAGGGUUAUGUUGCAGGCUGCAGUAGUAGUGAAGUCUACCCUAUGAUUUCUAAGCUCGUGGUGUAUAAUCAUGAUUGCAGGUUAAUGACACAAUUGGAACGCUAGCUGGAGGUAGAUUUUCUAACAAGGAUGUGGCUAUUGCUGUAAUCAUGGGUACUGGGACCAAUGCAGCAUACGUGGAACGUGCUCAGGCAAUCCCAAAGUGGCAUGGUCCCCUGCCUAACUCUGGAGAGAUGGUCAGAAAAGCUCUCAAUAGUUAAUAUGUUCAUUAGUUAGUCUUCCUCGUCUUGCAAAAUAUAUCACACUCAACACUGUAAUCUGAAUUUGGAUCUCUACUAAGCGAAUAUCGAUUAAAAUUAAGCUAGUUUUUGGUCCAACCCUACAACUUCUGAAAAGGAUUAAUAAAGUGCUAUUCUAUUCAACUGUAGGUCAUAAAUAUGGAGUGGGGGAACUUUAAGUCUUCACAUCUUCCCUUAACAGAGUAUGACCAUGCAUUAGAUGCAGAAAGUUUAAAUGCUGGUGAACAGGUAGGCAUCUACCUAAGUGCUAUUGCCCAUAAACGCAUGGUAAAACCAUCUGAGAAACAUACUAUUCAUUCUUACAGGUGUUUGAAAAGCUAAUUUCUGGCAUGUACUUGGGAGAAAUCUUGCGCAGAGUUUUACUUAGAAUGGCUGAAGAAGCUGCUUUCUUUGGUGAUGAGGUUCCACCUAAACUGAAGACUCCAUUUGUAUUAAGGUAUUCCUUGAAGUUUUUUGUGGCAUUCUGUAUUUUAAGGUAUCAUGUCUAGGUUUGGUUAUACAUUUUUUUGUGGAUUCAAUUAAUAGCCUUCUUGUUAAUUCUAUGCAUUGGAGUUCUACCCUUCAUGAUAAAUCUUAAUUCAUAUGUUGAAUAAAUAAGAUAAUUAGGCUAAUUUGAUAUUUAAUGGAAAAUUAUCAUAUUUUGUCGAUUGAAAAUCGACUCACUACCAGUUUUGAAUACCUUGUCUGAUUGGGAAUAGAAAUCAAUGAAAUGGUAAGCCCUUUUCAGUUGGCUAUGUUGCGUAUUCCUGAUAUCCCUAGGAGCAGAUUAUGUCACUUGAGACAGUUUUUAGUACUUGCAUAAAGCGAUAAUCCUUGUGAAUGCAAUACUGUCGGUGUUUGAUGCACUUGGAUCAGGUUUUUCAACUUCAGCUGGUCCUAUUCUGUCCUCAUCUUGUCUGUAAAACUUAACCAGUUCCUGUAUAUGUACAUCUCUUUCUUUUCAGUUUGACUUUUGUCUAAUAAAUUCCUCUUGCUCUUUAGACUCUUCUCCUUCUUUGUCUUGUCUCUUUUUUGCCUUUUUCUCUAACGUUUUACUUGCCUUCCCAUCCACAUGUAAUUAUCCAACGCAUUCAUUUUUAGCUCAGAGACUUGGACUACUGUUAGCCUCUAAAAUUGCUGCCAAGAUUAUUUGAUGGAGGUUUUUUUUCCCUUUUUCAGUUGAUAAGCCAUAUAUUCUGAUAAUCAUUAUAUUCUUUUCUUGUGAGUGAUGAAUUAUAUUGUCUAAUAAGUAGUAAUGCAGGAAUUUAGAGAAAUAGAUGGAACAACUCAAACAUUACAACUGGAAUCUUGGAAUGUAGGAAUUGAUGCAAGUGGUUCAAACAACAUAAAAUGGGAUAAGACUAUUUGAGUGUGUCCUAUCUCAGUGCAGUGUACAAUUAUUUUCCCACUGUUCACUUUCCUACCUAUUCUCAGUGUAAAAAAACAUGUUAAUGCAACAUGACUAAUUUUUUGCAUUGUUUUCGAAUUUUAUAUUUAAGGGUACUAGAACAAACUUAUAGCUAAAGAUUAACUAACUAUUAUGGUUCAUUUGUUACUAAUGUAAAAUUAUGGCGUUAAUAACAAUUAUGCACGAGUUUUUUUUCUCUAAUUUAUUGCUUCUACUUCUGUUGAUGUUUUCAAGUCUUACAUUUUAGGCCUGUAAUUUCUGGAUUGUUCCAUGUCUCUUUUAGACUAUCUGUCAUGUUUAUUGCAUCCCAUUGAUCUUCCUGAACGAUGCUCAUUAGUGAGCUUAUGAUAUGCAGGACACCUGAUAUGUCAGCAAUGCAUCAUGACACAUCUGCUGAUUUGAGGGUGGUGAGCAACAAAUUGAAGGACAUAUUUGAGGUAUAUCUAUUUAAAUGAAAAUUUGGCUGUUGUAAAAUUCUGAGUUUGUAUUUUGAAUAGCAUGUUUUCCUCUCAAUCAGGUGCAUAUGUGUAAAAUUUUUGCUGGAUUGCUUAAGAAAAGAAAUUUCAAAUAGACCAGGCAUCUUUAAGACUAAUGAUCCUACAACUUGAUGACUCGUAUAGAACAAACUACGAUUCUGACAAUUAUAGGCUUUUUAGAAAAGCUAUUUCCUCUGAAGUGAAGUAGGGCCCUUGCUCCAGUAUUGGGGAAUAGCAGUGACAUCCUUGUAUGGAGGAAAUGGCAGUAUGUUUUGUACGGUUAAAUUUAAUGGAGGGCGAAUUGUAUGUUCCUCCACAACUCCCCUGAUGUAUAUCUCAUUUUUAUCUUCUUCUUGUGCCUCAGGUGUCCAAUACCACCCUGAAAACAAGGAGAGCUGUGGUUGAACUCUGCAACAUAAUUGCUACACGUGGUGCCCGACUUGCAGCUGCUGGGAUCUUCGGUGUCCUUAAGAAAAUGGGAAAGGACACUUCAACAGGAGCGGAGAAGACUGUAAUAGCUAUGGAUGGUGGAUUAUACGAGCAUUAUACUGAAUACAGAAAGUGUUUAGAGAACACUCUGAUCGAAUUGCUUGGAGGGGAUGGUUCAAGCAGCAUUGCUUUUGAGCACUCAAACGAUGGUUCGGGCAUUGGUGCUGCCCUUCUUGCUGCCUCACACUCCCAGUAUCGAAACGAGAGCUCAUAAUUAAUGGUAUAGGCAAGUUAGUCCUCCUUAACCUUGUUUAGCCUCAAUUACCCCAUAUACAUUAUUCUGGGCUAUUUUUCAUCCUUUUUGCUCGAUACUAGGAAGAUGUUACUUGGAAUUCUGCAUCUUUGCCCAUAAUUUACCGGGAAACAAAUUCUGAGAAUUUGCGCGGUAUAAUGAGGACCUGCAACUUCCUCUUUCUCUCACGCUGCCCAGCCAAAUUGGCCCCCUUGCAAACCUUCUGCAAGCUAGUGCAACGGUAAUAAAGACUCAGAAUCUGUCCUCCUCAAGCCUAUUUUAGUUGCUAUAAUGCUGAGAUUUGUGGUUAUUUGCUAGUCAAUCUUCUUAUUGUUGAUUUUUGGCUAUCGGGAACUACGCUGUAAUUGACAUACGGUUACUUCUCAAACUGCUUUGUUCUGUAACCAAUAAGAUGCUAAAUAAUCAUGGUGGAGUCUCAAAUUUUCAGAUGCAGUGUCAAUGAAGCUAUCAUAAACUUUUUUAACUAUUGCACCCCUAUUUUUAAAUUAUAAGUGGACGUCUGGAACUCGAGACUUCUCACUUAUAGUCACUCUUCCGUACCAUCCAACCCACCCUCCUCCGUUCCUCCUCUCGUGAAACAGCUGUUACCUUGUUCAUGAAACAAUCCUAAUACGACUAAUCAAGCGUAAAUAUCAAAGUAGUAGGUAGUUGAUAAUUGGAAUUUCACGAUGGAUAUUAAUAUUGCUAGUUUGACUAGUUUAUGUAUUGUUCCCAAAUUGCACACAGUACACUCUGCAUGAAAAAUCGCACAAAGUACACUCCGCAUGAAGAGAGUGCAGUCUUGUUUUUGACCAAGGCACGGGUGAGAUAUCAACUAUGCAUUACGGAAUAUACACACUUUGAUUAGACCAAGAGAUUGCCACUUUUUUCUGGGUCAGAAAUAUUGAUCCAGAAUAAAAAUUACACGUUCCAUUUCCAUGACCGGAAAAUAAGAUAGAAAGAUACACGCAAGCAUACAAAAGUCAAUCCCAGCAGGAAAAAAAACACAAUUGAUUAAAGCUUCAGAAGGGCCUUCCUUCAUUUCUACAGAAUCCAAGAAGGCAAUAGCAAAACAAAAAUUUACAGGAAAGGAAGUUCAUUUGUCCUUCCUAACACAACCACCACCUGGAAUUGUAAUAAUUACAAAAAUCAACUUCUUCCUCUUCUUCCUUUUUUUCUUCAAUUAAUGAUGUAAACGUUAAUGGUAGUAGCUGUUCCACCAUCCUUAUCAAGUCUGCAAAAUGAUUUGAUCCUUCAUUUCAAUGAAACAUCAAGCGAGAGCUUUCCUUGCUUGCUCCCACCUGCAAAGACAAAAGGAAAAUAUCCGCAUUUAAUCACCUAGCACUAGUAGCAGAGGCUUGAACAGAACAGCAACCUAAGAGAACAGCCCCAUAAAUUAAAGCUUACGGCAGAGUGUUGCGAUCUCAGAGCUUUUCAAGACUCGCAGCCUCUUUACAGUAGAUACAAACAUGCUGCACAGUUAAGAAAGAAAGAGGAGUUUAGCUAACACUCUUGAGUAAUUCUGCCAAAGUAUUCUAAGAACAAGCUAAAAGCUUCAAGAUGGCACUUAAUUAUUACUAGUAUAUCAAGUACCAAGAACAAGCUAAAAAGUAUACCACCUGCACUUGUGUUUUCUUUUUUUAACCUAUCAGAGUUGGUUGAGAAUAAUAACAAGUUCUCAACAGGAAAACAUCAAUUUCUUGGAUCUCAGGAGGGGUUAUAGUAAACAUGAAAGAAUAACGCCAUUACCACAUGGGGUUACAAGCGGUCAAAGAAGCAAAGCAUAUAAUAUGCGAAAAGUAUGCAACUGAUUAAUUCUUUCCUUCUUUCUUUAAAUUACUAGUGACAAACAUGCAAGAAUAUAAUAGGGCAAUUGAUAAUAACAACAUCAGAUCCAGAGUCAAAAGAAAAAAAUGCUUACUGCCACGGAACAUCCCCAACAAGCAUCCUGUCUCCUUCGUUAUCUUCAUAUACGAGGGUAUAUUCUCCACUUCCAUCCAAUAAACCACUUAUCACUUUCUCUCCCUCUCCCUUGUUCUGAAUUCCACCGGCAGAGGAAUCCCCUUGAGCUAAGCAGAGAAACAAAUGACAAACGAAUUCAGACAAUUUUCUACAUAAAUAUUUACAUGCGACAAACUCGCACGAUGCAGAUAGUUAUUUAUUAAGGAUGAGAAGCCACUAUAGCAGCCAAAUAGCCCUGCCCCCUUCUCAAAGAAGCUUUAUACUCAAAUUAUUGCAAAAUAAACUUCUAAAAAGCUGAGUAAAAUACACCUAAAUUAGCAACAAGUCGCCAUUUUUCACUCUAAUGAUCAACUUUAGCGCAUAAACAAGGGUAAAUCUUUUAUGUACUAACAGUGUAUACGAUAUUAAAGAUUCCUUUAGCAUACUCCUGGAAUAGUUCAAUCAUGUUCCACCCUCAUUCAAACAGAAACAAUCCAAAAGCAGAAAUUGGUAAGCAAUGAAACCUGCAAGAAGGCCUCUGAAAAGUUCAUCAACAGCAGAGGAGAGCUUCUCAUAAGUGUCAUAUGCUUUGAGGUCCACUUUUCUUCCGAUAGGAACUCCAUCCAUAUUGAUCUUCACGAACAAACCCUUUUGGCAAAUUUCAACAGCUUUUUCAUUUGCAGUCUUUCCAGAGAUCCCAUUUUGUGAUCCAGAAGUUGACUUCAAAUGGCUGCCGCUAGCAAUAAUUUUCCUGAAUGAACGAAUUGGAGGCCAGCCCACAACUGCAGCAGGAGCAGUUCUGUUUUCCAAUCACAAAUUUUAGUGGGACCAUCCACGAGGAGAUGAUAACACAUGCAAUUACGUAGAAUACAAUAAUCGGUGAAUGUCAAGGAUGAUUAAAACGUAAAAAAGAAGAAGAAAGCAAGUUGAAAUUCAUGUAUCAAAUCCAUCCAGCUAUUUUUUCCAGUAUCUGUGUUAUACUCUACAGGACAAAUUCAUUCAUCAAGGAAACAGGGGCUAUCAGAACUUACGAAGCCACACGUCUGCAAAUUUGCUGCAUUCCACCACAUGUACAAGCAUUAUUGCUAUUUCCGAGAAACUCUAUUAAUUAACCACGAUUUUAAUAGUGAAAUGUGUAAUACAAGUAGUGAAAUGGACAGUUGCAGAAAAGUAAUUUAAAUUUUCAUUAGUAAGAUUAAUGAGAUAAACUUCAGGACUAACACGUAAAAGGAGAGGAUAAGGCUUAAGACACAACCUGCCAAAGAAACGCCAGCCAUGACUUUUCGUUUACAGCAAUGAGCAGGUGAAUUAUAAAAAUACAAAACUAAUAUGAAAGAAGUAUAAGAGCCAGAAAAAACCAGUCCAGGACGUACUUAAAAGAAAAACUAACAAAGUUUGUACUUUCACCAAAACAGAUGGAAACUCCCAAACAAUAAAGACUGGACCCUGCAUAAAUCCAUUUCACAGGACAGACAUCAAAAAAGUGAAAACAAUAUGCCGCAAUUCAUGGACCACAAACAUGUAGUAACAAUGUGUAAAGUAUAACACAGACUCGAGAAGAUCAUGUGAAAUAGUGAAUAUCCUCUGUCCAAAAGAAAAACAAAACAUACAACAAGGGAGCAAUAACCAAAGGCUGAGGGUACCUUUUCUGAGCAUUAGUAGAGCUGUUGGGCACAGCUGUAGUUGUGGCAGCAGCAGCAGCAGAAGGCGGCGAAAAUGCCUUCUUUUCUGCGGUAUUCUGCAAGUCUACUGCUUUGGUGCUGCAACAGUGCUGUGAAGAAUCCUUUGACAUAACUUCUGCAGGCAGAGGACGCUGUGUAGAAGUUGACUGAAGCUGAAGAAAUGGAGUGGCCUUUGUUUGCUGUUGCAGUAGUUGUUGGCCUUUUCCUUGGAAAUUAGCUGAUGAAGAUGACCAUGGACAUGGUUUUAAUAAAACAUGGGCUUGAUUUCCAUUCGCAGUGGUAUCCGUAAAACCUCUCUUUGUACCAGCACUAGUACUGUUAGAGAAGCAACCACGAGAGAGAUUAGAAGACUCAGGUCCUCCGGGAGGACCAAGCCUUAGCUCAAGUUUCUGCUCCUCUGAACAAGCUCCAUGGCCUGUAUCUUGCUCCAUUUUCACAACCCACUGUCUUUCUUGUGGGAUCAAAUCAAGUAAUUUAGGACAUCCCUCAUCCUUUCCAGGAUAUCCCUCCAUUUUUUCUUUAUCGAAUAUGUAUAUAUAUAUACAGCCUUUUCUCACACCAGAAGAGAGUAGUAACGAAGACAAAAUAUAUAUACUGCUGCAGAAACAAGAAAAUGAAGAUAACGUCCUGGUUAGGGGAACUGCUAACACAGAACAAUCUGGACGUGGGGAGAAACAACACAAGGGACUAAACAGAGUAAAGAGUCAAACUUUACCUUGAAUGCCUAACCGAAGCUCAAAAACAUGGAAGCCCACAUCAUAAAUACACCUCAAAAAAGAAGCCCUUUUCCUCUAAGGCGGCCAAGCUAAAGGAGCAAAGAAAAACACCGGAAAGGAACAAUACAGCUUCAAGACAACUAUACUAGUAGUAAAGCUCCAAGCUUGGACUCAUGCGGAGGACAUAUCAUCCCUCAAGAACCAACCCCACGAAAGCAAAAGAAAAGGAGAGGUAAUAAUAGCUGUGGGAAUUGCAAAUCUACUAGUACUGGGCUUAUUUAAUAGAUAUAGGAUGUGGGAUGAGGAGUCCUAGCCAGUUGGGAUGGGGUCUGUUGUUUUUUUGCCUUUUCUAAAGCACGCUGAGUAUGUGUUUCUGCUCGUCUUCUAUUUUUUUUUUCUCUCAGUUAUCACUCUCAAUUUUCCUAUCUGGGGUUGCAACCUGGCCUGUGUAAACGGAAGGAAGCAGAAAAGGGGUAAAUAAAGAGCAGUAGUAGCAGGAGUAUAAUGGAGUAGCUAGAAGCCAGUCGACAGAUUCCCUUCACUCGACAGAGCCUAGCAGAGCAAACUAUUCCAAAAGAAGGAAAGAAGCGAAGAACGUAAAUUAGAUGACAACGCACGCAACCUCACAAAUCCCAAAUGCCAAAUAUAUGAUGGUUGGUUGGUUGAGGAAGCAAAGCGUGCUGACCUUUCUCUUCUCUCUCUAAAAUAAAAGGAGAGAUGCUUUGAGUUGAGCAGCUGCUGCUGCAGCAGCUGUAGGGGGGCUAUAUACUUCAUAUGCUGCUACUUCCUGCAGACUAGACUACGACGGGUUCCACACAUCCAGCCCCCACAGGCUACUGCUAAUAUAGUGUUAGUUUUUGCUGUGGGAAUGGACCGCUGGAGUGGAUCAUGGAUGGACUUAAAAUUAGCACAAUACCCCAAAUUUUCGCUCUAAUUUAUGUGAGUUGUUUUUCUAGAGACAAAUAAGUCAAGAAAAUGAAAAGGACAUCUCUGUCUAGAUAAAGUUACUAUUGUGCCCAGUUUAAUUUAUUCGUUAUUCAAUAGCAGACCAUUCAUAUUUGUAAGUUUGUAUGAGUCGGAUAAAAUUGGACAAAGCAGAGACUUCACUUCAUUGACAGGGAGAAGAAGGCUCAUUAGCAUAUUAACCAAGAACUUUCGCUGUUCUCAAGGAUAACAUCACAUGCUAAAGGGGCUGUUAAAAUCAAAGAGAGUUGGUAGUUUCAGUAUUGCUCAGCACAGAGUUUUGGCAAUUGGCAUCUACAAAGCGUGAAAGUUUUUAGAAGUUUUUUUUGUUUUCUUUCCUUUCUUUUUUUUGACCUUCCAUCCCUCUUUACAAGUUACAACCCUCCAAUUGCCGAGAGAGAAGAUAAAAGAGAAGACUUGAGGCUAACUAAACUCAAUUGCUGCAACUAAAGAAAGAACUUAGUAUAUGAUUGCAUUAAUUUAAAGGGGAGAGAGAGGGAGAGAGGAUUUGCAUGAUCCGUUCUUGCAGGUUGGGGGGGACAGGGGAUGUGCAAUAAAAACAUGCAGAUCCCAUGAUCUUGUCUGCUUCCUUCUCUACUCUCAAUCUUCAAUCUUGCCGUCCACAGUCCACGACAGAUCUAUCUACCCUGCCCACACCUGAGUUGGAGAAAUUAGAAAAAGAUUCCCUGUAAACACUUCCUCCUCCGCAUGAUUCAGCUACAGUUGCUGAAUCUUCACGUAACAUGAAAAUCGAAGACAAACAUGAGGGAAUUUCACAAAAAUAAAAUGUUGCACUCUAGUUUUGGGAUCAUCUUUUGUACUUUUAAGGUACAUCAUCUUUGUGAUAAGUCGUUUUUAUUUUAGGAAAUGGAAAUCCAUGUCUCUGAAAACAGCUAGCGUUCUUGUUGGGAUAACUAUACUAAAUGGAGUGGUUAAAUUGACUAAUCCGAUCGUUCUAAACAGGUGCUACAAAACAAAAGUGCUCGUUCCUACACCGCACCACGAGUCAUGAGGCAUGUUAUUAUUCUCCUUCCUAAUGACUAUGAUUAUGUAUUAUUAUGUUCUGUAAUGAGACUCAAAUGAUAAGUAACGAACAUUAACUUUGACUUUCCAAAACUGAACACCAUCAUCAAUGGAGAUCAACAAAUGUCUGUCUACAAUCUCUUUUAUCGCCAUUGAGGAAUUGAAAGCUGAAACCGUUUUUUCCCUCGACAAGAUUGUCAUUCUUUGACUAAGAUCGGGAGUGUUGCUGCAAAAGGUGCACCUAACAAGCAAGCUAUUUUUUGGUCCAUUUGGUGGUUUCUGUAUUGUUUCCCGGAAGUCAAGCAUCUUAGGGCUAAAUAUCCCGCAAUCAGAGUCAAAAGAAUGCAUCAAUUAUUAUCCUUAAUUAUGUGCUAAUAACACACACACACACACACAGUAGUACGUUGGAAAUUUCUCUUCCUCCCGCAUUAAAAGAGGUGUUUCAAGGUCAAAGAAGGUUGUUUUCCUGAAUGAAUCAACCGAGGACGACAACAUUCACUAGACUGCCUCACGUGUGCUUGCCAACCUUUUCACGUAUUGGUGAAAAUGAUAUCUGUAUUUGGUCCUCGAUCGAUCUUGGAAUUCUUUGUAAUUUGUAGGAGAGUUGGUGACAUUUCCUUCUUGCAUUGCCCACAGAUUCCAUGCAUGGGUUUGUUUUGUCCAAUUUAGCAGGUAACAUUUCAUUUUUUUAAAAGGGGGGGCGGGGGGUAUACUUCUUUAAAAAGUUCAUAAAGACUGUUCAUAGAGACCAUCAUAAAUAGUCUCAUAUAUGAAGUGUAUUAUUGAAUCUUGAUAUGUGUCAUUUACAGUCUAGUCAAAAGUGCUUUAAGUUACAUUCUUAUGUGAUGUUUGGAUCGCUAGUUUACGUUGAAUUUUUUUUAGAUAUGAUUCUUGAUAUGUUUUAUAAUUAUCCUUUUUAACUCACGUACAUCAAAUUAUUAUGAUAUUUUUUUUAUAGAAACUCUAAUAAAAAUAACAAUUAAAACUCGGCCUAAUUUUUUUUUUGUCAAAAAAAACUGGGCCUAAUUACUAGAGUCAUCUAUAUCUAUAUGUAUUGAGGAAGGGGUUUUUAGCAGAAACCCUCUCAAUGGCUUCUGAACUUCCCAUUCUUUUUUCUAGAUUUUUGUAUUUAUUUUAAUAAAUAAAUAGUAGUGGGUUAUAACCAACCCUAUCACCAGUCCAAUUUAAAAUUUAAAACUUCCCCACUAUCUCUUAUCUCAUCUUACAACCACUCCUACAAAUCCUCUAAUCAUCAUCCCAUGUUUUCCCCCACAUUUCCUCCCACGGUUCCCACUCCAAUUAAGAGUCCUCCAAUUUAAGAAUCCCACCCCAAUUAAAACUCCUCCAAAUAUAGCAUCCUCAAAUUUUCUUGCGUGCUCAUUCGUAUUUGUUGGUUAACCAAAACAAGAAUCUAUUAUCUCUUUCAUCUCUUGAUUUUAUAAAUGUAUUGAUUUUGUCUUUUUUGUGAACAGUUAUGGAAGAGAUUAUGUGCAGAGACUUCAACGGAAAUCAACCUUCUUGCGGAGAAUUGGAAGUAUCUUCUUGCCGGCUUAAUUUUCAAGUCAGUCCUCUCUGCCCCUCCUUUUUGUCAUGUUUUGCUUUUCUUUUAAGGUGAUUUGAUUUUUUACUUUCCUUAUUUUUUCUCCUUUUAUUUUCUGGGCUGGCAGAUGGUUUUGAUUGCAUACAUGAUCAAUGCUUUAAAGAGGCCAUGCGAACAGCUGCGUGCUAUUUCACUUUAGGCCAAUGGAUAUGGCCGACUGAUGACUUUGUCAACAAUAAUGUCUUAAAUUUCUAAUAACGGUGACAUUCAUGUUUUCAAAGAUACAUCCAUUCUCUUAGCAACACAGUGCUGUUUCCAGAAUCGCAGUAUAUGCAUCAUCCGUUGGAGCCACCUCUGUGAAGCGGCUAUGAAAAAUUCGAAGCUGCUGCUCUGCACAAGAUGCUGCUAUACAAAACUUCACUCUUCGUGGGGAGAGAUGUUGCCUCUCUAAAAGAGUUACUUUCCAGGUGCAUCCAGGACUAAUAAACUAUCUCAAUUUUUAACAAUCCCUUCAUAGUUUCCCCACCAAGAAGCAGGGAUCCCAUGUCUUUGAAACCCUUCAGGCAUAUGAAACCUUUCAUACAGCACUGGCCUUACAUCCUUCUGCUGAGAGAGGUGCUUGAGAAGUGGAAGGAUAACUUCCAAAAGCUGAUGAGCAUGUGCAUAUUUAAAUUAGUGUGAGUCUCACCCAGCGGACAUAGUUUGACAUAAGUUUUAAUCCAAUUACUGUAAUCAAUGGUACCUGUUCAUCCUGCGGUUGCCCUGCUGAAAAUGGAAUGCAUGGAAUACCAUUUAGUGGUUGCAACAAGAAACUGAAUGGAUUGUUAUCACCCAAAAUGAUCCGCCAGGGAGACCCUACUCUUACGGUCUUACGACUCUUACCAUGACGUUGGUCACCCACGGGCAACACAUUAUUGACCAAGCAUCAGAAAAAAAACACUAGGUAUCCUAAUGCAAGUUCAUGUUUACUCAACUGAAAAUGUUGAAAGCACUCUAAUAGCACCCUUCUGUCUACAUAUAUUACUCUUGCUACACAAAUAAUUGGUGAUUCACUUGGAAAGUACUCAGCAAUUGAAACGCAAUUGAUUCCCAGUUGCGUCUCUUACUUGGAAAUGCAACUGUACCCUAUCCAUUCACUUAGCAAUUCUUUUAUAGAUUAGCAAGGUUAUUUUUGUUUUCUUACGUUUUAGAGCUUUCAUGCUUAGAAGAAUGAGUUAAAUCUAAAACGGAUGGAGACGAAAAUAAAAUAAAUGUUCGAAAUAUUUAGCAUUUUCAUUGUCUUACUUUUGAUCAUGUACUUUGUUGGUGCACUUUUAGUACUGUAAGAUUUACUGCUCUUUUAUAUGCUUUGGAUAUGAGUUGUACAAUCGUUUUCUUUAUCAGUUGAACAUAUUAGACCAUAUUCCAUGCCGAGUUGACUUAGUUUGCCUAGCUUACUUGGAACAACGGAUGUUUGGUUAAAAUCAAUGUUGACAACAACUCCUAAGGUUCGCCUUGCCGCAAAAAAUGUAAAACUGCCUAGAGUAAAUUCAGAAUACUCCAUCAGUAAAUAAAAAAAAAAGACAAAUAACUAAUUCUCAAUAAACUACUUUGCCCAUGCAAAUAACCAUUUGAAUUUACUAUAAACCAGAGCAUAAUUUAAACGAAUUACUGCUAUUCAAUUAUCUCUGAUGAAAUCAAAACUUAGAAUUGUCUGGCAAGAGGGAGAUGACAAACACUUCAAUUUUUUGAUGUGUCCAUUAGUUCAUGCCUAUAAAAUUAGUCCAGUGGCAGAAACUUCCUUUUUUUGUUUGAAAAUACUCUACAUAUGAAAAAGCUAUCCCGACAAAAGCGUAAUUCAGAUUAUGAAUGUUACAAAUGAGCUGAAAUUGAAAAUAGAGCCAUGGUACUGUGAAUUCCUUAAUUUCAUGUACAUUUAAUUUCAACAUAUUUUUCUAUAUUGUAUAUCUAUAUCUUAUUUGUCAAACAGGUACAAUGUUAACGUAUAAAUCAGAGAUUCCAGUGAUAACAUGCAUCUUAAUGUACAAGACAGACAUGCACGAAAAUGGUAACAUGCAUCUUUGUUUUUAUAGUACUAUUUAUAAACUAUGUAAAAAAAUACACUAAUUUCGUAUGUUCUUAAUUAUCAAGAAAAUGGUGAUAGAUUGUUCAGCCAACGAAUUAAUUCAUGCAAAGAUCGUACAUUUUUAUUUGUAGUACGCACUCCACAAAAUUCAACAAAGUUAAUUAUAAAUCACUAAAUUUGGCUUUCGUACUAAAAGUGGAUUGGUGUGAAGAGUGUUCGCACCUUUAAGCAAGAUUAUCAAAUCGAGUAAGUAUUUCAUUUUAACAACAUUCAAUUACAUUCAUUUGUAGAAAUAUAUCAUUCCCUUUUUUAAUAUAAAUUUUAUUUUUUCCAGGAUCCAUCUUCCGAAAAAAAAAAAGUUCUUGAAUGAUAUACACAUUCUAUUAUAUUUCAAGCUAUUGUUAAAUAGAUAUUACAUUUUAAUUUUAUUGGUACAAUUUUUCACAUUUAUUUAUUCACUCUUUUAUUUUUAUUUUUUUUAAUAAUGUCAGCACCGUGCAUAGCACGGGUAUUCCCACUAGUUUCUAUGUAAUGGCAGGCCUUAAUUAGAGUUAGCGACCUAUUCUCAAAGAAUGAUUAAUCUUUCUUAUAUUGACAGUGCAUACACUGUCACUGUCAGCAGCAUUGGAUGAAUAAAACUAUGUAAAAUUUAAAUUUAAAAUUUAUGUUUUAUAUACAUAUUAUAAAUCAAUCGAUGAUUGUGUAUAUAAUAUUUACUCUUAUAAUAAAUAGAAAAGGAGAAAAUGGAAAAGAAGAGAACGAACCAAAAUACUACUAGUAGGAAGGGCCUGCCAAAUCAGGAAUUGGACGGAAAUCAAAAGAGUAUCAAAUGAUUUUUCCAAUUUGGCUUUUUUUUUUUUUUGGUAUGGAUUUAAUUGGACGAUCACACGAACAAAGGUCGAUGGAACUCAACAGCUAAACACGUGAAAUGGGGUGCAGUUUGGAAGUUUGUGAUUGGGUUACUGCGGUACGCUAUUCCCAUUCCCCAUUUCAAAAGCCCGCUUUACAAACACUAACGCGUGUCUAAAUAGGGCCCCUUUUGGGUCUGGGACCACCUUAGCCAACCUCGCGUGAUGAUAAGUAGCCAACCUUAUACAUCCAAUUAGAUUAGAAAUAUUCAAAAAAUUAGCGGCUAAACGAUCCAGUUAAGAGUAAUUUAAGAAGAAUUUAUAAAAAAUCCACGUUCAGCCAAUUAAUAACUGAGCGAGAUCCUACAGACCUUAAAUUCAAGUUAAAGAACUCACAUCUAGCCGAUGUGGGAGGGAUGCCCCUUCCCUCCCCCUAGCACACCCUCAUCAAUGAAAUAGUUUUUGUUUGUCAAGAGAUAGAAACUCACACGUCCAAUUAAUUUAGAAAUACUCGGGAGGUUAGCGACUAAAUACCCAGCGUCGCUUUACUUAUGGAGUACCAAUUAUGACUAGUGCCCCUAUUGCUCUUUUUUUUUUUUCUGCCCAUUUCUCCGGCCUCCAACCAACCCAACAUGCUCUACCUGCGAAGCCAACCACCACUCGCGCAUUGACGCGUCAGGUUCAAUAAUUACCGCUUCUUCUGUUUGCUUGGUUGUUUUAGCCUUUCAAUCGAUGGUGUGUACUAGACGUGUGGUCCGUUUCGGUGGGAAAUAAAUUGGCGUCUAAAAUCGAGUUACACAUUUAGAGUUUAAUGAAUAGAAAAUAUGACCAUGCAUUUCUAGCAUGAGUAAGUUCACAUAAUUCACAGCUUGUGAAACCCUAAAUUAGUGUAAAGAUUUCAAGCUCUUAAAGUCAAUUUGUCAAAAGCAAGCUGCGAGAACACUCGAGAUAUUAAUGCAUAUUACUUCUGUAGAUAAAUAACAUAAGUCCAGUAUUUGCUCCUCAAGAGUGCACUUGAGCACAUCAUGGAUUACCUGCAAAGGCCGGAGAUUUGAUUCUCCUACGUGCAUUUUGCAACAACUGGAAAAAAGCAAGACCAAAAUCGAUCUUCUGGGUAGUUCAGUCAAAUGAAUCGAACCACGCAUGUCUAAAUCGAUUUAGGUGCUUGAUCAAGUCAACUUGAGUGAUAUGCGUCUGACACGUCACUUUUUACGAUCGUUGAGAUCUCACGAGGGACUACUUUUACGAUCGUUGAGAUCUCACGAGGUAGUCCCCACUGGAUAGGGAGAGCGGUCCGCUCUCCCUCUUUAGGGUAUGGCGACCUUCCUGACAAUCAGGGUUCGAGUCCAACUGUUAACGCGUUCGGGAGAUGGGGUCUCUCCACCCGGAUCGGAGUGGGAUUAGUCGGGCUCCGUAAGGAUUGACCCGGACGACACCCACUCCAUCAGAAAAAAAAAAAAAAAAGAGAUCUGAAGAGGUAGGAUAUUAAUUUACCACCACUCGACCUGUUAGAAUGAGAUGGGAUGAACUGUGUUUGUCCGAACUAACAAACGUAAAAGAGGUUGAAUGAACUAAUAAUCAUGUCUUGAUGAGCUCUUGAAUAUAAAAAGAAUUUAAUAAGGUUUCUAUAGUGGGCCCCAGGCACACAUCGGCCUGGUCCACGCACACAUCGGUCCGGCCCACGAGCUCGGACAGGAGAAGCUGGACUAGGGUACCAGGUCAGUUCGCAGGUCCAUACGAGCGCCGCCUCUCAGGCCGAUGGGCCUGAUGGGCUGCGAGGUCCGCGCCUCCGAGUCGCAUCACGGAGCCCUAGGAACCGCUUCCUUCACAAUUAGUACUCCUUGUCCUACCAGGAAGCUACUACCUGAGCCUCUAUAAAUACUACACGAAAGAGAAGCACAAGGUACGCUACUCAUAAUACCCUUUCUACUCUUCUGCUCACGAACUUGUACUGACUUGAUCGUCGGAGUUGUUCCAGGGGACCUAUCCCCGCAGUUCGUUUACGUGCAGGUCGGACGCUUGGUCAGCUCGUUCCGCAAGCCCCAGCUCAGUUCGGAUUUUCACUUCGGCAGUCGCAACAGUUUCCAUAAUGGCCAAUUGCCUGGACGUGUUGGUUGCAUAAACCCUAGCAAGAGCCGUGUGAAAAUUUAGAGAUGUUCCCGGAGCGUCCGAGGGGACGUCUCUGGCGAGGCAAGGGGCAGAUGGUGGCGCUGCAAUAGGAACUCGGGCGUAGAGAAUUUGGGGGAACAACUCGUGAUGAAGAGGUCAAAUCAAGAAAGCACUCUGGGGAGAGGUGUGAUGUAAGAACUAAGAGGAGGAGGGAGUCCUACGUGCAAUGAAUAAUGAUGCGUUUUUCUAUCGCACUGGAGACGUGAAUGCAUAUUGGAAUUUGGACAUGGCGCACUAGACCAGAGUAAAGCUACCAUUCCCGUCGCAUUAAAUUAAAGAAUGAACUCCAAUUUUGCACACCGGAUGUGACACCGUAUUUCAUUUCGGAAAAUUGUGAUUCUCUCUCUUUUUUUUGUUUUUUUUUGUUUUUGCAUCACCGAAAAUUAACAGUAGCAGUCUCUCAUAUCAUAUGACUCAUCAAAUAAACUCCAAAAAUUCUGGAUAUGGUGGCUGAGUACAUAAUGGAGUAGGAGGAGGUUACGUGCUUUGCACCAUUUAACAAACUCUAAGAUAUAUAAUAAUACUCCCUCCGUCCCACUUUGAUAGUCCUGUUUUCCUUUUUUGUCUGUCCCAAAUUGCAGUCCACUUUCCAAUUGAAGAAUGUAGUUGUAUUUUCAUUUUCCUAAAAUACCCUUAUUCAAUACAAGUUGUUGUUGCUAUAAAUCUACCCCAUUUAAUGAGAGUUGAUUCUUUUUUUACCAUCAAUUCAAGUUCCCAUAAAGUUGUACUCUAUUUAAUGUGAGGGUAUUUUAGAAAAAUAGCAAUCUAAAUUUAGGAGUAGUAUAGGACUGAAAAGUUCCUUAUGACGACAUGCUGAUUGCUGAAUUACAUACACGCUUGGGCUGGUCCGGUGGAUAUGACUGAAUUACAUGUUAUUGUAUCCCAAAAAAUAUUACCGAAUUUAUUCUAAACAAUCUCCUAUUCAAACACACCCCCAUCUAUAAUUAUAAUCAUUAUUAAUUAUUGUAUUCACUUCCGUUUCAGAGUAACAAAUCAUAGCUCCAACCGAAAAUGUUGACAAGCAAACCUCCCAAUUGAAGAGCACGUCCCGUUUGAGAUUCAGUGAAAUUGUCGACUCCUUGUUUCAACUUUUGGAAAUUAUGACUAUGGCUUGUAAAAAUUCUUCAUUUGAUUACUUUGCAUCCCAAAUUAUUUAGGGCCUAAAUUUUUUUGACAAUUACCUUUUACUUUUAACAUCGCCCCCUAAAUUGUUUCAAAAAUGUUGUCAUUCUUUAUAUCGCCCCUCAAAGAAAAAUGUUUGUUCUGAACUUCUAGUUUUGUCUUGGCCACGGGCUUUUGGAGUCGUCAGCUGUGAAAUGGCCAUUGGCAAAUAAAUAGCCCACGAUGAACAGUUACUAUUUGUUAUUUUAGGAGUCCCCGCUGUUUGGUUUCCAUGGAGGCUGCUCCACCCCUUUUCCCUUGGGGGCACGUUUUCAAUAACUGGAUCUAAUUAGCAAGACAUCAUCAAUUAAUCGAGAAAACACCACUGCUGCUAUCCUUUGUUGUUGGGGCCUGGGGGGGACUUCGCACUUUGGUUCGUAGGUCCCUCCCUCCACUGAUGUAGACUCCUUGUUUUGAUGCUGUCCAUUCUUAUCUCGCUUUUGAUUCUAAUGCUCAUCCUUCUGCUCAUUCAAUUCACUUCACCUCACCUGCCCUGCCAUUAUGGUCCGAAACCUUUUCAGAUUUCCCCCUCUUGAGUUCUCUUUUUCAAGAAAUUUCUUCGUUCCACUGAUUGCCUCCAUCAAAAUGUCUUGUGCAGAUAAAGAGCUUGGCGUCCCUUCUCUUUUUCCCCACCGCCCACCCCCCCUUUUUUUUUACUCCUUUUUGGUGUUACACAACACUCUGGCCCGCAUACCGUCUAUAUGUGUUAAUAAUGCUCUGCCCUACUUGCAAUCUGGGAUGGCAGUAACGUUCAUAUCCGGAACUAGAUUCAUGAGAACUAAACUAAUGUAAGAUGUUACUGCUUCUAGAAAGUUGUUGAAAGUGCAUAAUAAUUCAUCGCUUGUUUUGUUCUCAUUCUCACGUUAAGUUCAUGAGUAGGAGGAUUGGUUUAAGAGAUAGAGACAAAGCAGAAAGUGCUUAAUAUAUAAAGCAAGGAUCCGGAACAUAUCAUCCUAAGCUUUUAUGUUGAAAUACUCUCUUGGGAUUUUCCUCCCAAACAUAUUAUUGUCUCUGUCAAAUUACCUAGAGACUUUGGAACUUUAAAUAAACCCUUUAAUCUAUACGGGACGGGUGUGUGGUGCAUCCGUCUGAUCUGAUGGUAAUUCAGUUUCCGUCAAGUUCUUCUUAUUCAGCGAAGCCUUCCUAUAAAGUAGAUUCCCCCCUCCCCGCCCGGACCAAAAAAAAAAAAAGAAAAAAAGAGACCCUUUAAUGGUGUCCUUCGGCGGAGUCCUCCUCUUUGGCAGGGUACGAAUAAUAUCCUGCCCUAAAAGGAGCAUGCAAAUUACUACUGUAAAACAUAUGCAGGCUUGCAACUGGCUGGAGUGUUUGGCCCAGGGGAGCUUAGGCGUCGGUAGUUGUGUCGCCACGACGAAGGCUAAAGCAAAUACGCAAUUUCUAGCCAGCCAAGAAUUAAACGAUUCCUUUUCCAUUUUCCCACUUUCGAAUGCCACGUCGAUUUAAAAAGAAACAAAAAAGUUGUGAUAGAAAAUGGAAGCUAGGGCACGAAGUAAUCCUGGGAUCUUUGAAGGGGAGAUCCUGAUGCAGGCAUUGUGAUAAUUAGAAGCAUGGGUUGCUUAAUAAAGAAAGACGUUGAUAAGAACCACUCUUAAGACUCUUUUUCCACUUCUUCAAAAAGUUCAUUACUUCCACCCAAGUAGGAUUAAUGCAAUGUAUCUGGAAAAAAAAAAUAAAGAAAAACAGUUGGGCAAUAUUUUGUAGGCACAACACAAUGUGUUGUUGCCUGCGUAUCUUUUGUGGGUCUUGCCUUUGCCAAGUCUACUUCUUUCUUUACCGCUGAUUAUGAUUAUUGUUUCUAGAGAGCGUGUCAGGAUUAUGCACUCAAUCAUAUCUUCAGUUCAACUUCUUAAUUAGCUUUUUAGUCUUCUUCAAAAUUCAAGCUGAAAAUGCUGCAUGUUUCAACUCAAAUUCGGCUUUGCUUGACUAUAGGCUUCUAUUCACGCAGGUCAAAUUUUCCUGCCUUAAAAUCACGCGUAAUCCUUUUGAAGUUCCACCUUAAAGUUUCCCAGAAGCCAAUUUCAUAAUUCGUUUAGUUUGUAUUUAGCGAGCGAUUGCUCGAUCGGGCAUUUGUUAACCUACUUUCAAACCAGUUGGGAUCCUUUCAAACCACGUCCUCACUCCGUCUCAUUGAAAAUGUCGUACUUUCUAUUUUAGAAUGUUUCAAUAAUAAUUGUCAUAUUAGAAAAGUUAAAACACCAUUCAGUCUUUCUUUUCGAUAUAACCCUUCUUUCUGAUCAUAUGCACGUUACCAAUCAAAUUUAUAUUUUAAAUUUGUGGGAGUAAAAUUAAAAAGAGAAACACAAACAUUACAAUCAAACCACUAUUUUUAAAAAGUUGAAUUCUCCGAACAUGACUAAAUAAAUGAGAUGGAGAGAGUAUAACCUAUUCCAUAAAUGUACAGACAAGGUAUUACGUACUCUAUUUUGUAUUUAUAAGUUUUCCUAAUUAGCUCUACAUUUUUCUAAAUAUUAACACCUGAACUAUGUAUUGACACAGCGGACGCUCCUUGGACCAUAGUUCUAUUUCGAUCGAGUCAAGUGAGUUAGCUAGUGAAGGUUGAAAUUGGAAAGUAGAGCUCGUGAGGGGUGAGCAACAUGAUUCUCCGUUCUUGAAUAGCUGUUAUGUCGAACUUCCUGGACUUGAAUAGCUUGUUUAAUAGCCACUGAUCUUGGCUCAGUGUUUACCGGGGAGGGGAUUAAGUCUCUCUUUGAGUUGUAGGUGAGGAUUCAAACUUCACCUGCAGUAAAAAAAAAAUUUAAGAGUCGUGACAUGGCAUUUUUUUGAUCUAAUUGGAUCUGUAUACUGACUAGUUUCUAAUACACAAGCCUCCUUAGGCUUCCCCUUCCCCUAAAUUAGGAUAGAAUAGAUUAUACAAUGUAUCGUUGUUGCUGACCCAAAAAAAAUAGCGUGCUUAAUUAUUCAAUUGCCUACCAACUCACGACGGCAUCAGUGAUGAUCUGAGUGGCGUUCUUCAUGGUGCCACCAUAAAGAUAGAAUAUCUAUUGACUGAAACGGCUAUAAUCUGCACAAAAGUUUAGAAGUAGGUCAUCAUCAAAAUAUGAUUUUCUUUCAUUUUCUGACGAGUACUACUCCAACCUAAUAAUAAACGAAGAAAAAGAUACACUUACAUAGCAUGAACGGAUUUUAUAGGGUCCCAUUUCAAUUCUUUUUGAAACGUGGGAAAUUAAUUUUGGGCAAGGGUCAAGAAACCAAAAAUAUUAACAAAAAAAAUUUUUAAAAAAUUCAAUUCUUUCUGCUCUUGCAAAACCCAACCACCCAUAUCCAGAGAUGAGAGAAUUUUUUUUUUUUUUUUUUUUUUAAGGAAAGAGAUGAGAGAACUAAAGCAAGUUCGUUCCCCAGAUUCCACCCCCCCAGAAAAUAAUCAAAUAUGACAUUCAUAGCUCAUGGAGUCUAAAAGUUAGUUUAUGCCUUUUCAUGGACCAACCAACACAAAAGCAAAAGCCAAAAGGUUCCACCAAAUGCGUUGACCUCCAUCUUAACUUAACCCUUCCUCCCUCCUUCCCGGCAAGGGAAAAUUAUGCAGUGCAACGACUGGUUUUACUACAAAGUCUGGGUCAAAUUACCCGCCCUCGAGCUCAUGUCUCUCUGCUGUUAAGAGUAGUAGUGUUUCUGUGGCCAAAUCACUCAAUCUCAACCAUGAACUGUAAUCUACAUAUUGUUUUCACUCUUCUGAGGAAAAAGGUAUAUCAAGGCUGAGCCAAAGUCGUCAUUAUUUAGAAAGGAUCUGCCCCCCAGCUCGCCAGUACGACUUCUAUAACUUUUCAACUUAAUUUUCUUGGAGAUAUUCAAGAAAUUCACCAGUUCUGCGUUUUAUCUUAAGAACUGAGAAGGUUACUCCCAUAAUUAGGAAGUAUGCAAUCCCAGGCACGAAAACUCCAGAUGAAGACCGUAUUGUCAGUUUUAAAACGCAAAGCCCACCAGAUGAUCAGAAGCCCUUCUUUUGUUUGUUGUUUAACUUAGGAACAGCACACGAUCAUUCCUUGGAUAAUCACUGCCCGACUCUUUGUUGUUGCCACAAAUUUGCCUUUUAUCAGUUUUAUGGGAAAACGAGCGUAAAAUACAACACUGUGGUACCCCUUGCUUUUUGUCGUCAUCAUCAUACAUAAAAUUGGCCUGGACCAGGGAAACCCAAAUUUAGUGGGCAAGUUCAAUACAAUCAAACAACAGGGCCCCAAUGUGCUACAACUCACGGAAAAUGUUGCUGUCAACAAAUCUGCAACCCAUAAUUAUAUACAAUAACAAAUUUUGGCGCAAUGACAAAAGUUAGUUCUGUAAAAUUGAAAAAGCCCAGACCUCCUUCUUGGACAGCAGCUGGAGGGCUUAAAUGUGAGAAGAGGUGUGGGCUUUUGGAUUUUAACCGGAGAGGUGUGGGCUUAUGAAAUCUUGAAUACAUUAAUUGUACACAGGCCUACUGUGGAGGCCAACAAAUUGUAUACAAUCCAUAAACUCAUCUGAGUAAUGUGGUUGGGGCUUUUGGAUUUUAACCGAAAUGGUGGUGGCAAGUGGCAACUCUCGAGAGAAAAGUUGCUGCAGCCACAUUAUACUAAUGCAAAGUGGUAAUAAAAACCCCUGCAAAAAAAUGCGGAAUAAGGUUAAGCGGGCAAAAUGGAGAUCAUAGCUAGCUAGCAUAGCACGAAGAUGGAUAUGGAGCAGGAACAUUUGCAGGAAGCAACUAUUUUGAAAGGUUGAUGGCCAGGAUUUGACAAAAAAAAAAAAAAAAGAAAGAUCCAGAUAUCAUUUUAUACACCAUAUGUGAGACUCAUAAAAUUUUAUUUUAUAGUUACAUGUUGUGUAAAAUAAAUUAUAUCGUGUGCAAAUUUAGUUACCUCUUAUGUAAAAUACACAAAAUUGAUUCGGAGGAUGAUUUCUCUGUUGACUACUAUUCCUACCCCAAAUCCCAUGAAGAGGGAGUCAGGAGGACAAACAAGGUCCAAUUGGGGUGGUGGGGCCUUGUGCAAGGAAAGCAAGUUUAGCACAUUCUGUGCUGUGGAAAUAGAAUCCAGUCUGGAUAAUUAUUUUAAUUAUGUGUGCUAAAGCGGGAAGAUUCCGCUUCUAAGUUCUGCAAUUGCUUGAACUACUACUGUCUCACAUCACACAUGAUCCAACAAAAGUCCAAAACAUGAUUAAUUUUUGGAUAGCUUUUUUUUUUUUUUCCCCUGACGGAGUGGAUAUCUGAGCCUUUGGCCCACUAAUGUCACUCUGAUCCGGAAGAGGAAGCCUCACUCCACUCCGAAUACGAUAGCAAGGGGGCUCGAAUUCUAGUUGUCUAGAUAAGUCUACCAUACUCUAAAAAGGGAAGCUGACCGCCCCAGUUAACCCUUAGGGGCAAUUAAUUUUUGGAUAGCCAAUGUGACGUUUUGUGUUUUAUUUGCUGGUGUCACACUACCUUAAGCCCUUACAUGUUUGCCAGCAAAAUUCCACAUGCAAAAUUGGUCCCACAAAUGCUGCUUCAAAAUUUCUAUGAAUUUGGAUCAAUUCCACAUGCAAAAUUCCAUCUGUGAUUGCCUAAUUCGUUUGAUUUUUGAUUUCUUAUGGCGUGUUCCAUUCUCCCCAAGUUUUUCUUUUUUCCCGCUUUUCUCGUGCAGCGUUUGCCUUUUUUAAGAUGCUAACCGGUCUUUCUGUACUUCCCCUUUUCAGUUUUUGUUUUUAGAAUAAAAAAUUCGAGUGAUUUCAAUUCCAAUUAUCAUAACGAGUUAGAAUAUGCAUGCAUAAUCGUAGGUCACUUAUAAGAAUUCUUAUAAAUUGUAUUCCUCUUUCUUUUGUUUGGACGAAUUCUACUCCGAUCAUCAUUAUCGGUUAGCAUAUAUUUCCAAAAUUAUAAGUCACCUAUAAAUAUUUUAUAGAGCAUAGCACCAACAUAACUCUCAUAUCAACGAUAUUUAAACACAUGAUUUUUUAUGAAAAAAUGAUUCGUGCCUGGCGUGUUGUUCAAGACAUUUUCUAUGCCUGUUUGUUUCAUCACUAUUAACCCAUUUUCAAGAUGAAUCAAUGGUGCAAAAUUCUUGUUCGAGAUUUAUGUCAUGUGAAUAAGAAAAAAUUUUCACAAAAGUUGUUGCGUGACAUAUAAGUUGGGCCUAACCAUCAGCCUUAGACUGGUGGCCACCACCAAACCUUUUACGGCUUUGGUGGGGUGGGAGGCAAAAGUUCGAACCAUGCAUCCCACCAAUUUGCCACAGUUAUGGUUCUUAAAAAAUCCAGAUGGGCCCUGUGAGGCAAGUACAAAUUUCUUCCAGGAUCAAACUUUCUCCUGUGAUUUACCUAAUGCUUUCAUCAGCCUUUUGAAAUGCCAUACUGGACUACAUAUUUUUACAGUUGUCUUCAGUCCACGUGCGGACCUACAUGGCAAACGAGCUCCGCCCUAUUUAAUAUGCACCAAACACAGACGAUUUUUCCUCGGCUGAAUAUGACUCGGAGCUUGUCUGUUUCUGUUUCUUCUUGGGUUAACUUUGACUUUGCAGUCAACGUUUAUUUUGUUAUUGAGGUUCAGGUCGUCAAUUUCCUCGCCAAGCCAUCGGCGAUUUUUUAAGCUAUUGGCGCCAUGCCGCGCCACAACGUGGGUCCCAAACCAAAUGUCGUUUCCAUUUCUUCUCUCGUUGAUAGGUCUCGCAGCCAAGGCCAUCAAGACAACUUUAAACCUCUAAUUGGAUGUAGGUUAAAAAUAAUAUUCAGAAUUUUCAAAAAUAUUUCUCCAAUGAGUGCAUAGACAUUCAUUUGGAUCGAUGGUGAUUCAUCGUGUUUCCCUUAAUCUAUUUAAAUCGCUCUCCUCCUAGUGUAGAGUGAAAGUAAUUGUUACAUAGAAUUUAUCGCAUCGACAAAUAUUUCAUUAGCAGGUACAUAGACAUUUAUCUUGAUCGAUGAUAAUUUACCGGAUUUUUCUUGAUCUAUUUAGGUCCUUCUGCCCCUAAUGUGUAGAAUAAGGGUAGUUGUAGCAUAUGAUUUAUUGCGUGUACAAAAAAGAAAAGACAGUCUCGCAAUUCGCAACUCCCAACUUGUGCUUUGCUUUUCCCAAAAUUUGUGAUCCAAAUUUCCCAAGUAUGGUCCCCUUAGCCCUUAGGUCAUUAAAUUUCCUUCAAUAGGAUCUUUUUAUUUUCUUAACAACUCCACAAAUAGUUAAACUAGACUCGUCAAGAUUACAAGAUUGUAUACUAGUAAGAUUUUCAGCUCGACUUACAGUUUAUUAGUUAUGUUUCAAGUAUUAUGGGUCUUUUUUUUACUGUUGACAUUUUUUGGAUCGUGAUGAUUCAGGUAAUGUGAUAUUUGGCGGCAUAAAGGGCGUAUAAGUUACUAUUUAAGGAAAAUCUUGAAAGAAUAUAUAUCCACCCCUCCAAACUAUUGCCCCUUGCCCUCGGGCAUGCCAGACGCAGAGAUGUCCCUACUCCACGUGCUUGGGUCUUCAAUUAUGGUUGCUUAUCAAACUAAACCAUUUUAUUUUAAGCAAAAACCUGCAGUUUGGCCAUGGCAUGAAAUAUUAAAGAAGACAAAGGAUUUCAUCCAAUCCAAUUUUACCAUCAUAAAUUUUGGAAUGAUUGGUACAUAAUUUGAAAUUUGAGUAAAUCUUAUAUAUAUAUAUAUAUAUAUAUAUAUAUAUAUAUAGUUACAGUGCAUAUAUUAUUAUUGUUGAAUCUAUGACACAUGUAUAAAAGUUAAAUGUAAAAUUUAAAUUUUACAUAACUAUCGUUCAUUCAAAACAGAUAAGUCAAAAAACAGUUAAUAUAUAGAAAAUUAAUCCUUAAAAUUUUAGCUUUAUAUCUCAUUGGUUUGGUAACUUUUCUCUCAAAAAAUAUUUAAACAUUUCUUAUGCAUAUACAAACGGUAUAUAUAUUGCUAUCUUUACAUGCAAGACAACUUACUAUGUAUAUAUAGAUAAGAUAUAUUCAGACAUUCAACUGUCACAUUUCAACAUCAAGAGUUAUUCAUUUGCAACAUCUGUAAGGCGUAAUUCCUUAUGGUGAUUUUUUGAGAGAUUCUUUAUGGUAAUUAUCAACAAUCCUUUUCUCUAACAGCCAAAAAGAACUAGAAGGCAACAAAGAUUAUUUAUCUAAAGCAAAAGCUCUAAAUAUCUAUGGAUGAUUUUGUGUGUCUCCUUGAUCACAAAUGUGGCCAUCCCUUGCCCUUUUUUACCGUGCUAGCAGUUACCGCUCAGUCACUCCCCCCUCCCUUUAGCCCAAAAGGAACAAUCCAAAAUGCUCUGUACCCAGUCCCCUAGUUCCUUCCUUCCCUGCUUCUUCAAGCCUCCUUAGCUUCAGCAUUACCAUUAACAACACCCCUUCUUCCAACUACACAAAGGCUUAGUCAAUAUAAUUAGCAGAAUUAUCAUGUUUUUGAACAAUUCUGCAUUUUUAGCUUACUCUUGAUUGAAUAUACUGCUAUUCCAUCACUAUCUUGAACCUGGAUUGCUCAAAGAUUCAAUCUUUUUAGUAAAUGGAUUGUCUAAAUCAAAGAACUCUGAUCAUUUUAGCACUGGCAUUCAUAUCACGAUUAGUCCCUCUUUGCUCGGCAUAUCCAGUUCCUCUCAACUGCUCGGACCCCGUUAGGCUAUGUACCUCCUUCCUAGCCUUUAAGUCCGCCUCAGACCAGACUCUGCCGGUGAUCCAGAGCAUGUUUGAUGUAUUGCCUCAAGAUAUAACCAUUGAAGGUAAUGGUAGAGACUACAUAUUCAUUAGAAAGAACUGUUCUUGUCCUCCUACUAUCAAGAAGUACUUGAGCAAUACUACAUUCACUGUGAGACAGAACAAUGGAUCUGUUUAUGAUAUGGUGAUGGAGGCCUAUAAUGGGCUGGCCUAUUUCUCUUCUAAUUUCACUAGGGAGGCAAGGAAAGGUGCAGUUGUAUCCUUGAGGCUUAUUUGUGGCUGCUCCAAUGGUUUGUGGAAUUACUUGAUGAGUUAUAUGUUGAGAGAUGGGGAUAGUGUGGAAUCUCUAGCUAGUAGAUUUGGGGUCAGCAUGGAUAGUAUUGUGACUGCUAAUGGGCUGGAUAAUCCUGAUAAUGUCACUGUUGGACAACUUUACUUCAUACCCUUGAAUUCAGGUAUGCUAAUUGCCUUUUUUUUUUUUGUGUUGGUGAUGUCAGUUACUUAAUUUGAAAAAGUGUUUUUCGUUACAGGGUUUUAGUGUUGUCGCUUCAUCGAUUUCAAUGAUCUCUUGAAUUUUAAGUUGGUGAAACGAAUUGUCCUGUAUGAUUGUGUGGAUAACUUGUGCAAAGUGGCAUUGAAUUUUGUGCUCGAGUUCCUUUUAAUGCCUAUUUCUAAAACAUAUAGGGGCUGCAUGAUUCAAAGUAUUUUGUACCAGUUAUUGUAGUCUUGUACCAAAAUUAAUCGUUUAUUGCCAACAAUAUCUGUCUAAUAAGGUAGGAUUAAGCUGAGGUUACUUGUAGAAUUUGCUGCAUGUGGCAGUGUAUAAUAUGAACUCUGCAUUUAGUCAUACUAGCUAGAGUGAUAUGACAACUGGUUGAGAGAUGUGACAUUUUGGAGUUUGAAUGCCUUAGGAUGUGCAUUUUUUAGUCUGAAUGCCUUAAAAUUGUCUAUCCGUUACUGUCCCUUUCCCCUCGAGCAACCUAUCUUGGCCAUUUGAUGCUUCUGACUUUCUAUCGCAGUGGGGGAUACGGUGGACAUUACUUGUAAUCCCCUUCUAGCACCAAAACUCGUGCAGUUAUUGUUGUUGGAAAAUCAAGCUUUCUGAUAUGCGUUAUUGUUAAAAGCAAGUUUAAGAGAGAAUGGAUUACAAUUGCUUCGUGAUUUCAUGGGUUUCUUACGAUUCCAAGUAUAAGGUUAGGGAUCCUGAAGUUUCGGAAGGCAUGCACAUUUGGACAUAAAUUAGCACUUUGAAUUCCAAAUUGGUAAAACUCAUAUAGCAGAGACUCUCUCUGUCCAUCAGUAAUUAUGGACCUGAGGUUCUUGUUUUACCUGUAGCAUCUUGUGUUACUCGUGAUGAUGCAAUAUCUUGUAGGAUAUGGAAAUUAUUAUCACAUUAGAACAAUGCAUCUCAACUAUGCUGAAUAAUUUUUCAACAGUCUUCCUAGAACACAAGUAUUGAUCUUCCUCUGGCAACUACUGUCCAUCUCUUCUGAUGCUUUUGACAAGAACAAGAGUUACAUGAAUGAAGCAUCUCAAUUUAAUGAUUCUGCAUCCAAAGUUCAUUUAGAGCAAACCCCCUCGGAGAGCACCAACAUCUCCCUCAUCUCCUUUUGAUGUGCAUACCAAUUUAGAAUAUUAUGACUAACCUGCACCGGUAGAGUGUAAAUGUAUCUAGAGUCUGGUAUAUUCUGAAUCUGCAAAGUCUAUGUAGCAUGCUUGGAAGUCUACAUUAUUGUGGUGUAACUUCAUGAACAAUAUUUAGUGGAUCAGUCUUGGCUUGUAUACAAAUGCACAUUAGACAUCCAUCAGGAUAUCUGUCUUUCUUGGAAACAUUGGAGAGUUUUGUAUGCUGAAGCAAGUGAAUAACUUCUAAAUGAGGACUAUGCAUGCUAGUUUGUGAAAAAGCUGUACUGGUGCAGUUUGCAUGUAAUUGUAUAGUCUCUUCUCAAAAUUAGCUUUGUAAUGUGUCAGUUUGUUUUCUAUCUUGGUUUCCUAUUUUGAUAAGUUAGAGGUCAAAUAUUUUACCUUGAACACAUAUUUAUGAAAUUAUUUGGACAGUGUGUUUCUAUUCAUCUUGAAACGGAAAUGGGAUUAGUACCAUCUUCUUGUAAUUGGUCUUUUUUUUUUUUUUCCAAUUCUAUUGUCUCUUAGUUCCUGGUGAGCCUUAUCAUGUGGAGAAUCCCAUCACUCCAGCUCCAGUCCCAGAACCAUCUGAUAGUGAUAUUGCAGGUACAGUUUUUAUUCACAGUAAUUCCCAUACUUUCAAGGAAGUCUUCAGGUUCCUUAACUCCAUUGAUAUGAUUGAUUAGCAUGGUUAACUAUUCUCAUUCAAUAUGUCUUCUAUUAAUUGGUGGCUGUUGAUGAAGAAGUCAAGAAUGAGUGAAAUGGAAUUCUCUUGGGAUCUUAGCAACAAUGCAUUCUUGGUAUAUGCAUGCAUUAAUGAUCGUUUGAUACAUGUCAAGACGGAAAUUCUAGCUGUGGUUAUGCUUGUUUACUAGCUGAUUGGAGGGAAGUGCCUUUUAUAAAGGGCUGUGUCUGGUCCCUUUUAUAAGUUAAAAGCUUCCAAACACAGUCUCCUGGUGAAAAGACUACUUUUGACCAAUCAAUUCUUUCUUGUAUUAAAGCCCCUUAUUUGGGAUUUUGGGAAAACUAGUUACUAGUUAAAUUUACUUUUGGCAGCUACACAGGUAAAUCACAAGACUCAUGUGCCAUAUUGGUGGAUAAUUGGAAGUUUGGCAGUUGGUCUGGUGCUUGUCGUCAUCCUUGUAGCUGUUUUUAUUUCCUUAAGGUCAUCAAGCUGUUUUUCUGGAGCUCUAGUAGGUCAUCCUAAAAAUUCUAAUGAAAAAAAUUCUCAUAAAUUUCAUAUUCUGCGGAAUACGAGUUUCUGUUGUGGUUCGGGGAGGUAUAUCUGUUGCAAAUCAGGGGACUGGAAACAGCCUAAUGGUGAAGCUACUGACCGCCAGAUGAAUAUUCCUAAAGGUUAGUCUUGCAAGUGGCUCCAUUACUUAUGUUACAACUAGGUAUUCAGUUAGUAAGAAUUUUGUAAGUCUAUUGUGCAAAGUUUUUAUUUUCCUGCUAGAGGAUUUUUUCACUUCAUUAGCUCACAUGGCCUGAAGUAACUUCCUCUCAAAUUGGUUUUCAAUUGGGAGCAGAGAUCUAGUUUGCAUCUCAUGCACUCACAUAAUGACAUCUGUGACAUUUUCUUCAUGAAAUUUUGCAAAUUCGAUUUGCCUUCUUCUCUUGAUUUCUGCAGUUAUAGGCACCGAUGUCUUUGACAUGGAAAAGCCCGUAGUUUUUACAUAUGAUGAAAUUUUCUCUUCCACUGAUGGAUUCUCGGACUCUAAUCUUCUUGGGCAUGGAAGAUAUGGUCCUGUGUACUACGGCCUUCUUCGCGACCAGGUUCUUGACUCUUUUAUAGUGCUUCUGCUAAAGUUCAAUUCCAGUUGUGAGAAUAUUUUCCUAGUCCCUCUAUUUCAUGCUACAAAUUUUCAGGAAGUUGCAAUCAAAAGGAUGACAACCACAAAGACUAAGGAAUUUACAGCAGAAAUGAAAGUGCUGUGCAAGGUUCAUCAUACCAAUUUGGUAAUGAUUUUGCGGAUUAUUUUCCUAAGAAGUGUAAUUUUUGGCCUUUUCUAAAUGAUCUUUUGGCAUCAUCUUGACCUUCUUUUUUUUUGGGGGUAUCAAUUUGUAUUGUGAAGGUAGAACUGAUUGGUUAUGCGGCCACGGAUGAUGAACUCUUCCUAAUCUAUGAGCAUGCCCAAAAGGGUUCUCUCAACAGCCACUUGCAUGAUCCCCAGAACAAGGGUGGGAUUCCAUUUUAUGUAGUCUUUCCUUUUUUUAUUUUGGUUUUUCGCUUGUAAUUCCUAGAUCAUGCAUUAUCCAUAUGUCUUUCCAAACAAAGAAGUUAAUACAGUUGUAGUAACUUCUUAACUUCUUAGGUAAUUGAAAUCCCUUUUGUCUUCUGUGUAGUAUAUGGUCAUUAGCAUUAUGCGUAAAGAAAGUUUGGUAUGAUUCUGAUCAAACAGCUGAAUAUUAUUUCUUCAUAAUGUCUGAAACUCAUACCUCAAUGUUCCAUUGGUAUUUAGAGUCUCCGGCAGGAUGUCAUUAUUGUUCUUAUUAUAUCUAGUCACUUGCUGCUACUGUUGUUGGAGCUGGCUGGUCUGGAGACAAUAUUUUCUUGCAAACCCAUUCUGUUUAUAUGGCAGUUCUUCAUUGACUGGACAGGUCAUACUGCACUUUCUUGGAACAUGAGGGUUCAGAUUGCUGUUGAUGCUGCUAGAGGCCUGGAGUAUAUACAUGAGCACACAAAGCCUCAUUAUGUGCAUCGAGAUAUCAAGACAAGUAACAUCCUGCUGGAUGGAUCCUUUAAGGCAAAGGUUUUCAAUCAUUGCCCUUAUCAUUUCAUUUUGUUUUAUGUCCACUUUCUUCAGUUGUUGAAUUCCUUCCUCAAAUUUAGAUCUCAGAUUUUGGUUUGGCAAAACUUGUUGGGAAAACCAAUGAUGGAGAAGCAUCAGCGACAACUGUUGUUGGAACUUUUGGUUAUCUAGCCCCAGAGUAAGUUGAUAUGCCAUGACUGUAAAUCACUUGUAACAAGUUUUAACAAUCUUGUUUCAAUGUUGUCACUGCUGCUUCUUUUGCUUCUGCAGAUACUUAAGGGAUGGACUAGCAACUAAUAAGAGUGAUGUGUAUGCAUUUGGUGUUGUACUUUUCGAGAUGAUAUCAGGAAAGGAAGCCAUUACCCGCACCCAAGGCAUUGCACCAAAAAGUGCCGAUAGGAGGUCAUUGGCAUCUAUUGUAAGUUCUGCUAUUCCACUGUUAAACAUAUUGGUCUUAUAAGUUGGUGAACUCAAUCAUGUGAAAAUUGCUUCUCCCAGGAAGAAAGCAUUCUCAAAUUUGAGUAAUGUAGUGCACUAUACUGCAAUAUUGGAAAAAGACCACUAAUGUACUGUGCAAGAGAGAAAAAAAUAUCAUUUCUUUCUGUCUAUUCAUGUCUUCUUCAUCAAGCUGUUUCUUUUUCCUGAAAAGAUUAAUAUGAUUUACUAAUUGACAUGCACAUAAAAGCAGCAUAUUCUUUGCUUAAUAUGCUUGAAACUCUGUGUAAAUAUGGUGUAGUACAUAUUUAGCGGAUCAACCACUUGAUGGAAAAAGAGCAGUUUAAUAAGAGAGGAAAAGUUGCUUCUCUCCUUCCUAUUCUGGAAACGAUGAUUUAGUUGCAUAGAUGUUGGCAGCUACAGGAGAACCUGGUCUGUAUUAUGCAUGUCUGCAUAUCUAUGGCUGGAAAGACAGCUGCCCAAUAUAAUUUCUUAAACUUGUUCAGAACUUUCCUGCUUGCAACUAAGCUUUUAAACUUAAAUUGAUUUUGAAUCGCCUUUGUUAAUUUCUUUACAUUUAUAUCUGUUAUGCAUAACAUGGUCCUAAGGUGCUGAGAGACAAGUUAUGCAUGAAGCUUCAUAACAAAAGCUACUGCAUUCCCCUAAAUCUUCUUAAACUGCAGAUGCUGGCAGCUCUGAGGAACUCACCUGACUCCAUGAGUAUGUCAAGUUUAAGAGAACAUGUUGAUCCCAAUCUCAUGGAUUUGUAUCCACAUGACUGCCUUUUUAAGGUAAAUGACCAACAUAUUAACCUAAAAAUGCUAUCUUUUGGGUUAAAAAAUUUUAGACAAUGACACUAGAGACAACUUUCAGUGAAAUUUGUUUAGAGUUGGGGGAAACUAAAGCUGUCUCCUCCUUGGAAGAAAAGUCCCGACAGAUUAUAACAAAAUGAAUAUGAAUACGUAUUUUACUUGAGGGUGAAUUUGACGGACCAUAGUCGUACUGUGCAAACCAGUAUAACUCACCUUGUUAUUCGAUCCCAAUGUUGUUUAGAUGGCUAUGCUGGCAAAACAAUGUGUGGAUGAUGAUCCCGUUCUUAGACCAGACAUGAAGCAAGUUGUGAUAUCACUAUCUCACAUCCAGUUGUCCUCCGUUGAAUGGGAAGCAACUCUUUCUGGAAAUAGCCAAGUGUUUAGCGGCCUUGUUCAAGGUAGAUAGGCAGCAGAAGCAGAGUUCAAAUAUUCCAGUUGUGCUACUCAAAAACAUUUUCCUGCAUAGUCUCUUCUCUGCUACUCGCUGCUUUGGUUUGUAUAGCUGCACAGUUCAUCCGCCUCAAUUAUAUAUGGACGGACCCUCAUGCUCUUUUUCCUGUUUUCAAAUCCCUUUUCAUUGUAGCAUUCUUUUGUAACUUUGCCUCUGAAAAGGAAAGUUUUGUAUGUAUAAAUGGGAAACUGAAGAGGAAUGCGGCUUCUGUUGGUUUUGAAAUACGAGUGACAUGAACAAAUGGUUAUCAGUUUGAACACCUCCUCCUGUGGUCAUUGGUGUUGUAUUAGUUAAAUCCAUUAAUCAGCUUCUGUUACGAAGGUUUUAUGGAUCUGAAAUAAAGUAAGACCCCGAUUGUGACUCGACUUUCUAAGACUUUUUUCAGAAUUGCUUUAUUAGAUGGCAAAGCAGGUUCAGACGCGAAAGUCUUCAUCUGCGCUUUGUGCUUUGUCUUGCUUUUCCUGGCAGCUCCGUUGAUUUAUAUCCUGAAAUCGUGCUCUUUUGACUGCUAUUGCUUAUUCUUCCUUCCAUUUUAACCAAACUCAUCAGUAAAAUACCGACUUAUAGAGGUUAACAUGGUCUUAGAAAAGUGGUUCGUAUUUGCAGUCGAUACUUAUUGGUGAUUCGCUCCCACAUCAACUUGGGCCAUCUUAAUUCCUCCCUUUAAUAGGAACAAAUCAAAAAAAGUCAAAAAAAAAAAAAAGAAAGAAGAAAGUGGCCGCCUUUUUCAAGAAAACUAGGUGGCAGGACCAAAGUUCAUAUCUUUCGGUGGUGCUAUUCAAACAUCGUGAUCUUUGCCUUUUACGGCCUAGUUUCCUCUGUUACUUGACAUUUAAACAUACGAUGACGGGGGUGCAAGCAAGCCAAUGUAAAUGCAACAUGCAUGGCGUUUAUUUUUUUUUCAGGUUAUAUAAGAGCUACUAACAAUUAUCCAUAGUGCUUGAUGAUACAGCAGGAAUUGCACUAUUAAUAAUAGGUCAUAUAAAGCUAAUUCUCCCUAACUGUUGAAGCUAGUGUGCUUCAGAGCUGUUUGUACUUGUUAUCUAUCUACAAAGGCAGAGCAGCUUCAGCAAGAGAAAUAGUACUUCUUACUGUUGUAUAAUAGCAAGAGAAAUAGGUAUCUCCAAAAAAAAAGCAAAAGCUCGUUGUUCUGCGAGGACAUAGUGCAAGCACUCUUACUUGUACAAUUAGGCACCUGCAAACCACAAGAAAGACUCUUUCUGCAAGUCUUACUUGCAUAAUGAAGCAAGUAUGCGGCGAGGAGGAUUGAAUGGUCUUCGAGAGUGAAGAACAGCUAAGUUAUCAAUUAGUAACACAUCCCCUUUCUGCCAUGGUAUGGCAACACUUUCCUCAUCUAGGAUUCUCAGGCAGUCAUAGAUGAUAUGAGCCGGCAAAGGUUUCCCAUCCCCAAAAGUGACUGCCUUUACAGGAUCAUUUCGCUUAUCUUCCCAACCUGUAUAAGCAGCUACCAUGCUGUUGAACCAUAUCUUGCGCUCUCUUGUUUUGUCCAAUUUAAUAGCAGGAAUAGGGCCCAUUAUUGUCUUCACACCAUCCUCUGUCCAUUCCAGCUUCAUUCCCAGCUUAGCAGCCCUGUCAAAUAUGAGCUAUUUGUUGACUUCCAGAUCAAAUUCAAGAGUUCAACGACACAAAAUAUAGAUGAAGAUGAGAUAGUAGAGGAACUUUGUAAUUAUACUAACUCAUUUGAACUUUAAGGAGAUUAAAGAUGCAAGCCUUUGAUGGUGGGAAGAGCAGAUAUUGCAUUGUUAACAACCAAAAGGAGUAAACUUAGCAUUAUCAGCAACAAGCAAAAUUCGCGUUGUUGACGGUUACUUCCGCAAUAUGUACUUCAACUGAGGUUCUGUAAGACGUAUGAAUGUGUUGAAUUGUAUCCAUUGAUACACCACUGUUGGCACUUAAUCCACUCCAAAAUACACCGAAGAUCGCAUGCCAGCUCCUUCUGCUCUCUAAUGAGAGAUAAUUCUAGUUGCAUAAACUGUCGUUUUCAGAAUUAACAAGAUAUGCAAUAGGACGCCUUUAUUACAUGGCAGUGCAUCUGCUACCUGAUGUUUCAUCUAUCAGUCAUGUCCACAAAGAACUAGCCGGCAACAGCAAUAGUCUAUGAGAUGUUCCUUUUAUCUCUACACUUUCAGCUCCCCGGGUGUGUUUUUUUGGACUUAACUAGAUUUUGCAAUAUGUGCUUGCGGGGGAAGAUUGGCUUGAUCCAAUCUUUACGCUUUCAUCCAAUCACAAGCAAAAUAAAGAAAGUGCAGCAAGAUACCUAAGCAGAACAAGUGAUUUUUACAUCCAAACAAGAGACAAAACACAAACCUUUCCUCAGCAACAGACUUGUCCUUGGUCAAAAAUGUAGACUUCCAACCGCGACCAAUUGGAGAUGAUGGAUCAUCCUCCUCUCCUAAAACACGUAUAUUUAUCAACCCGUGUUCUUCUAAUUUCUCAACAAAUUCUGGAUGCUUCUCUUUCAUUCUCUCAUAUACAAUAUGACUAAGAACUAUUGGAGUUUCUCCCCCAGUACCAGGCUCAACUUCACAAAAGAAGAACAAUUUGGAUGGAUACUCGGGAACCUGGCAUACCAAAACAACAUGAAUAUUAGAAGGGAAUACCAAACUUAAGUCCACCCCACCAGUGUCCAUGCAAGUUCACUAAACCCCAUGUGAAAUUGGAAAAAAGAAAAAAGAAAAAAGAAGCACCUGGAACAAGCUCAAUAUAUGCUUAAAAAUCCAACCUUUACCUUGUAAAACAAGGUCAAAUCAUUACAGAGAAAAUUUCGAGAAAAAAUAAAGAUCACCAGAUACCAAAUUGACUAAUCAGACCGAAAAAGUUGAAGCAAAAUAAAAAACAAUAAUAUCUCAAAUAAUGGCCUAAUAAGAGAAAUUUUGACAAUAAUCUUCUUCAAAGAGUAAAAUUUAGUGAAAGUAGUAACCUGGGCCAUUUCAUGAUGAAAAGGGAUUUUCUGAUCAGGAGGGGAUUCAUUAGCCGUGAAAACUCUGCCAACAACAUUAGUCCUGGGGGCAGCACCACCAACGUAGGGCAAUUCAUCAAAGCCAAAGGCUUCAACAACGUUGUUGAAGUCUGAAGCAGUGGUCAGAGGAAACCCCCUGAAAAGAAGAGCCCCGGAUUGGUGGAGAAGUGACUCUAGCCAUGGCUUGCUUUCUUUGAUGGCAUCAGUCAAUAGUGGAAGAGUAGGAGAUGAGGAUGGUAGUCCAUUUGGGUUCGGGGAUAGAACUCUUGGAAAAAUGAUUUCUUUGUAAUUUUUCUGUUGAGGGGCUUCAACUUCUUUGAACAAGCUUUCUACAGGCAUGGUGAAGCUCAGAUAAUUGCUGAUAAAAAUCCUUCCUUGUUUUCUUACUUUUUCGGAGUCAUUGAUGAAUCCUACGGUUAACAGUGUUGAAUAUAAAUAUCCGUAAGAGCACAUACAGCACAUGCAAACAAACUAUGGUGGCACUACAAUCACAAACGGAUUUUUGUCUGUCUCGGGAUUACUAAGGGAAGUUUAUGAUUAUCUUGUCCUUUGACAAUGGAUUGCGUCCAGGUUCAGAGGAUUAAAUUAAUAAGAGUUUUUUUUUUUUCAAUGGAUGGGACUGGAGUGUUUUUUAAAAAUUAGUUUUUUAAAUAUAAUAAAAAUUUUUAAAAAGUAUUAUAAAAGAUAAUUUAAAAAUUAGUUUAAAUUUUUUAAAAAUUUUAAAAAAUAUCUCAAAAUAUAUUCUAAAAAUUUUUUUAUUUUUAAAUAUUUCAAAAUAUUUUUUGAAAAUAUUUUAAAAUAUAAUCUAAAAACUCUGUUUCAGUAAAAAAUUUUAAAAAUACUCUAAAAAAUAACUAAUCCAAACGAAGGUUGAGCAGCCGCGCAUUAUUUAGCGGGAAAGAGGCCCGUCUUUCUUUCCAAUUAAUGGUUCUUUCAAACAUUUCACACAAAGUUAAAGCCGGGCUAGCUCGAGAAAUUGUAGGCGGGCUUUGGAGUGGAUAGACUUGCAACGUAAAAUGAGGCGGGCCAGCCCAUGCAAGAGAGAAUUGAUUGAUUAGUUCUAAACACUAAAGUACUAACAGGGACGUCACUUAAACUCCCGAAAAGAAUUGAAUGAAAAAACUAAGGUUGUGUUUGGAUUGCAUUUUUCAUGAAUUUUUUGUUGGAAAAUUAUUGUAGCGAUUUGAUGUAUGUGAGGUAAAAAAGUGAUAGGGAAAUGUGUUCACGAAAAAUAAAACUAUUUUUCGGUAGAAAAUGGCUAUCCAAACAAGCCAUAAUAAUUUGGUAUCGUAUUUUAAAAGAUGAUAAAAAAAAAUAAAUUUAGUGCAUUGAACAAUUCAUGGUUGAAGUUAGCAUGUCAAGUACGCCGUUGAGAUUAGAACGAAUUGAAAAUUGGAAUCCUUUUGACGUCCUUAGUUGGCGAACAAAGUGUCAAAAGAGAAAAAAAAAAAAAAAAGAAGAAAAAGAUACACAUAGACAAGCAAAGGAAUUGUACUCUUGAUAGUUUGGACCAUAAUAAUAAAUUAAUUUAUUCUGAGUUCGUGUUCUUUUUUGCCUUAAUAAUAGUUUAAAAAUGGUCAUGUUUAGGAUGUUUUUAAGUUGUUAAUCACGUGUAAUUUAUAAAGAAGUACAUUAUGAUGAGAAUAUCAAAAUAAAAGAUGAGAAAGAACUAAGUAUACUUAUCUCAUUUUAAAGAAAAAGCACGCGAGAGUACAGUACAAAAAAGGAAAAAUAUGAAAAGAGGCCUCUUUUUUCUCUCCAUUAUGCAGGCUAUUAAAUCCCAUGGUUUAUUAGAAUUAUUUUUUCUUCCCACCCAAAAACACCCUUAUUGCAGGGGUAUUAAAAAAGAAAGGAAAGAAGUCAAAAUUAUUUUUCUUUGUGCUCUAGAAAGUUGAUAAUUCGAAAUUCGAGGCUAUAUAUAUAUAUAUAUUUUUUAAAUUCGAGGCUAUAUGAAAAAUAAAAAAUAUUACGUGCCACGCUCUGGUGAGAAAAUUCAAAUUCAGAGGAAGAGAGGCAGCAGCAGUGACCGUUAAGAGGCAGAAAACACCGAGAGAGAGAGAGAGAGAGAGAGACGAGACGAGAAUGCCGAAGAACAAUAGCGGCCUGACCACAAAAUCGAAGCCGAGACCGAAAUCAACUGCUCGGAAGCCGCUGCGAGAUGUCUCUAACGCUGUCAAAACCUUCUCUACUUCAAUUGCGACGAAACUCCCCGUCAAAUACCAGGAAGAUGAAGAAGGGAAUCAACUCAGACAAGUCGGAGACCAUGACGGGGCCCUUGACCGACUCCUUCUCAUCCAUUCCGACAUCUCAUCCAUCAUUCAUCAGGUAAUUAACUAGUAUAUCGUUAGUAAUAACUCCAAUCUGCGGAAUUAUUUUAUUAAAAAAAAUUUCCAUUUUUGUUCGUAGUAAUUGAUUGGUUACUUUUCUCGACAUUAGAAGUUUGCUUGAAUAAUUUGGUCGGCUAACCUAGGUUUUCAAAUUCUUUUGAUAGCCUCAUUAGAAUAAUGAACCCCCCCCCCUCUCCCCACACCCUCCCUGGUGGUGGUUUCUGGCUGUACUUCACUGAAUUUCUUUGAAUAUUUCCAUGAUAUUUUUUAUAUUACUUUUUCCAUUCAUAUUAUAAUUCCUAGUAAGACUUCAAUCACCUUUGUUUCAGAUUCCUAGAUAAUAUAGUUAGGAAACCUAUGUGGAAAUUUUUUGUUACUGGAUUAGCGUGGAACAGAUAUACUAGUACACUACUAUUUCUUGAAAACCUUCGUUAUUUCUAUGGUUAGAGUCGGUGGUAAGGUGAAAAUGCGAAAAAAAAGCUAAAAUUUUGUGAGUAUAAAUCUUUCAGGCAUUUUUUCUUCCUUUGUGGUGGAAUUGGAUGUUUCUUAAUAUCUGAAAGUGCUCGUUUACUGCUUCUUUGUAUUGAUGCCUGAGUUUGUUUCGUUGUCUUCUGCUUUUGGAUGUAUGGUGAAGAAUUUCGAAAGCAUAAAGAUCUCAAAUCUUGGUAGUUCAUUCUAUUGGGAAAGUGUAAAAGCAGCAUUGUCCACAAUGCAAUUGGACAUACAAAUGAGGAAAUGCUUUGAAGGACAUUUUCCCAUUGAUGUUGUAGUAACCUUGCUAUACUACUUGACUGUUCUGUCCUCUCUUCUUCUUGGUGUCUCGGAGGAAGUCUUGUUCACGGGGCAAUUUCUUAGUAAUGUACCUCAGUUUAUCAUGGUUUUGAACACUUACUUGUGUACAGAUUGAUGGACUUGUAGCCCAAGCACAGAAAUUUCCAAGCAAGCAAAGGAUGAAGGAAAUUGAAUUGUUUGCCAACGUUUUGUCUGAAAUGCAAACUUCUUUGCAGGUUGAUCUCAAACUUCGUUGUCUAAUAGUGUGAAAAUUUUUUGACCUUUGUACUUUUCAUUUGUUAAAUUUUAUGUCUUUCUAAUCUUUAAACCUGCAGCCAUGGAUUCCCAGAUUCCAAAAAGUACUCUCCACAGAGCCUGUUAAUCAGUUGGAAGAGCCUUCCACCAGUAGGAAUGUUGCCUAUGUCAAGAAGGAUACGAGCCAUGUUGUUGAGAGCCCUCGACCAACCAAGUUGGAUUCACUAGUCUCCCCAUCCCCCCUAGUCUCCUGGCGUGCUGGCUGCACUACGGAGGGCGGAAGACAACUAUUUUUAGUCACCCCUCUGCCAAGACCAAAAGCAUUUUCAGUGAAAUAUCAGGAAGAACCCAAAUCAGUCUUGGAAAACACUACGUCAAGCACAAUGGUACAAGCCCCAGUUAUUUUUGAUGCAGUUGGAGAGAAAAAUGAUGAUUUGCUUGAGGGUACUGUGGUAAAGCAAACUCCAAGGAAAGUUUCUGAUGAUAUUCUCAAACGAAGAUGUUCUUCUCCUGAAAAUUUGAUGGGAAGGGAAGGGUCCAUGCUUCUCAUGACCCCUUACUUGAAAUUAUCCCCUCCCAAGUCCUGUGUGUUACUUGAACCUGUUCCUGAGUUUCGGCAAAAUGUUACUCGUGGAGUCUAUCAAUCAACGCCCUACCCAACCAGAGUUAAGAUUUCUGAGGGAUCUCAAGAUUCUGAAUCAUCUUUGUGUCGAAGUUCAGAAAAAAUGUCUUUUCAGUAUACUGAACACCCAGGAAUAAAACUUAGUAACAACUAUGGCAGCAGAAGUAAGGUGGUUGAAGAAUCACCUUAUAGGAUGAUAUCGCCUCCUAAAACUUGUGUCUUAAUGGAGCCACCAGAUGACAAGUUGUCGCUAUCUGAUGAAGCAGGUUCUGUCCUUGAUCACGGAGCAAACCUAUUGUCAGUGACUGAAGUUGAUCUUCAAGGUGGUCAGUCAUUGGCUGAUGAAACUUGCAAGCAAGGUUGAUUGUUUUUGCUGUUAUUUAAUUGACUUGAUUAAAGAGAUCGUCUCAUAUGAAGAUUUCUCAUUCUGCAAUUCUUCUGACAGGACUCUAUAGGAGCUUCAAAAUUGUUGAAAGUACUCCUAUCCUGAGGGGGCCUGAAAGCAGCAUUCAAAUUGGAAAGCACCCCGGAGAAAACACUUUGAAGAAAGAACUUUGGGAAAAGUUUGAAGCAGCAUCCAUUGAUGGGAUUGAUUUUGAUGUUUCUGUUGUGCAGCAGAGUGCUCAGAAAGGAUUCCUUGACAGAUUAGACGAGGUUUCUUGAAUUGAGAAAAUCGCUGCGGGAAUAGUUUUAAGACGGGAAGAAAAGCAUUUUCAAGGUCUGUAAAGUGUAAAAAUUCAGAUAUUCUGAUGCAGGUGUCUGUGAAGUGCCCAUAUGAAGUAUACUCCUUUUAACUGGUAUUCCCUUUGAUUGGGGGGGAUCGCGAAAGUUGGUUGAAAGAAGGCUUUUUGACAUUUGUUCUCUCUGUUUUGUACAACAUCUGUACAUGACAAUGGGUAAAGUUUUGACCUUUGUAUCAAGCAUGUAUUCUGUUUCUUUUGGUGAGGCAUGGGAUUUAGAAUGUGUUUUCCCGUACUAAGAACAUUAAAAGCUAAAAUACUACUUUUUUUUUUUUUUUGGAGCUCUAAAGCUAAAAUACUUCCGAGUACAGUAUUGAGUAAAACUACGUCCUCUUCCUUGGCAACCAAGAGCAGCAAAAUGGGGCCGUUGGCGCUUGCUCAUUCUCAUAUACCAAGAGCGUGCGUGUACGUUACAUAGGUCUACGGAAAUUAACUGAAAUCUCUUAUCCUGUGUUUUAGUGCAAUCAGUACAUACUGAAAUAAAAUAUGAUAGAUCAUGUGAAUAAUCAUUAAUUACAACGUCAAACGCAGUUGAAUUAGUAAUGCAGUGAAUUUCAUCUUGCCAGUUCGGGAACAACUAGCUAUUUGGGUCCGCCAGAGGCCAUAGUUUUUCAUUACCCUAAAUUAUUUUUUAGGGCUGUAUUACUUGAACGAUUAAAAGGAAAAAAAAAAAAAAAAAAAAACACAGACACACACACACACACUUGAAUUGACAAAGUUAUAGUAUAGAGCUACGGCGUCGUUUCAUUGGGUUCUUCAAUCUUCCGCAAAAUAACUAGAAACUUAUUACAAAACCCUUGGCCAUGGGGUAACUAACAUAUAAAACCCCAAAAACACAGCUGCAAAACACCGCAACCUCUUCUGGUGUUCUCUCUCUCUACAACAAUGGCUAAGCCGACGGAGUACGUUAAGCAUAUCGAGUCGUACGUCGACUCGUCCAGCUCUCCCUCCCAACAGGUCCACUUACUACUACCAAAAGCUCUUUUCUUUUUCUUUUCUUGUCAUUUUUUUCCUUCUUAAUGAUCAACAAGAACUGUUGCACCAUGAAUUCAAUCUUUUCGCCGUUUUUAUCUAGCCCCAACAAUGAAUUAGCAAAACAAUGUCUUAGCACAAAUAGAUUACCAUUUUUUUUUAGGAUAUUCGUGCUGAAUUUGAACUUUCAUUGGUUGCAGGCUGCCAGUGUGGAUGCACUUGCUAUUCUUUUGAGGAAUGACUUAUUAACCCUAGAAGCUUUAGUAAGUUCUAGCAGAAAAAGUUGGAAUUUUUAUCAACGCAGGAUUGGCUAUGUGGAGUGUCAUGUGAUUGUUUAUUUCCUAAUUGUAUAAUAUUGUAGGUUAGAGAAUUGGACUUGUAUUUGACUACUACGGAUAGCAUCAUUCGCUCAAGAGGUACUUUUCUUUUUCCCCCUUACAAUUCUUCAGAGUUGGCCUUUCUUAAGAAUGUAUUUCAGAGAUUCGCAUGAACCAUUCCAAAAAUUGGACUAUCUCAUACUGAUUAAUGACGAGCUAUGGAACGUUCUAAUAAGCAUUGGCUAUUUAAUGUGUCCACUUUUUGGCAGGCAUACUUCUCCUCGGGGAACUAUUGACUCAAUUAGAGUUGAAGCCUUUAAGUGAUGCUGCGAUACAUUCCUUGAUAGGAUUCCUUACAGAAAGACUGGUAAGAGCCUACUGCAACAGAAAUGCACAAAAGAAAAUGAACUGAUUUUCUUCUGACCGUAAUCCUGUUCUCUCUGUAGCAGCUUAAGACAUUACCUGCGAUACAUGUUUUGGUUUUUACUCUUAUCAAAGUUCAAGUUUUUUGAGUAAUUUAAGGAUGCUGGUGUUUGCACACUGAUAAAUGUUAAUUUUGAUGCUCUUGGAAUUGUCCAGUUAGAGUUAACAUGUGGUCCGUUGGUGAUGCUUCUGCUACUUUCACAGUUGUACAAUGUUUACUAGUUAUCUCGGCAAAACUCUCUUGCUUCUCCAUUUUUCCUUUGUUUAACUCCAAAAAAUCCAAUCCCAUAAGUGGAUCAAGAAAGACUGAACUGUAAGGACGCUUUGAAGUUGUUUCUGCUGUCAUACAUAGAUGUUAAAUUGCAGCUUCCAGUAAUAGUAGGUCUACAUUUGGGUGAAUUGUUGUUUAGUUGGUUUUCUCUGGCUUUAGAGUCCUAUUAUACUUUCUUGAAAUUCUGUAAGUGUAAGAAUUUCAGAAGGGAACAUAGAUAUUGUUUAAUAAUUUUCAGGAAGACUGGAGAGCUUUGCGUGGUGCACUUGUUGGUUGUUUGGCACUGUUGAGGAGAAAAACUGAUGUUGGUGUGGUAACUGAAAAUGAUGCAGAAGCUGUGAUGAAAUCAUAUAUGCAAUAUCUGCAAGUGCAGUCCAUGGGACAGCAUGACCGGAAGGUAAGAUUAAAUGUGAUCCCAAUGUUAAUGAUGUUAUAUGACAAAUUGUGUAAUGCUGGAAAAUGAGCUAUUUAGUAGACUAGUUUUAGGAAGGUUAAUUAGGAAGGUUAAUCAGAUAUUUGGAGCUAUGGAUAUAAAGAUAAACAUUAGUAUUUCCUUGCAGCUCUGCUUUGAACUUCUGGAAUGCCUACUGGAGCGGUACCCUAAUGCUGUUCAGCCACUGGUAUUUAGUUUCUAUCAAUCUUACUCCAUUUUUGUUUUCUUACUUCUAUAUUCUUCAUGUAUAAUUUAUGGAUUUGGGUAUCAAAUAUAUGAGGUAGAAUAAGUGCUUCCUAAAAUCCAUCAUUUGAUUCCUGACUUAAAUUACUGUUUGUGGUUUGAAAUUUUUUAUCCUUGAAUUAGAAUUUGCAAACUUUAUAUGAUCAGGUUUAGUAGGUCUUAUUCAGCUAACCUCUCAACUAGUGUCAUUUUGGACCUUUCCUCGUGUCAUGUGUGUUUAGUUGUAGGUUGUGCAUAAUGUUCCUUGCUUAAUUUGUUAAGAGAUGAGUACAUAUGGAUUUUGGGUAGCUCAAACUUCAAUUUCGGACAUUGUUAUUGCUAAAUAACAUGCUUUCAGUUAAACUUUUGCACUUCUAUCUAUUUCCUCAUGUUGUGUUUGGCUGUUUGCUAUGUCAUGGCAAUGGGUUAGCUCCUCUGCUCUGGCCUUGUUAUUUGAAUUUCUAUAUUAUUGAGUCACGCCUGAAUAUGUUGUUCUUCAUUUGUAGGGCAAUGAACUUUUCUAUUCAAUCUGUGAAGGUAUUGAUGAAGAAAAGGAUCCUCAAUGCUUGAUCCUCGCAUUUCAUAUUGUUGAAGUUGCUGCAAAGUUGUUUCCUGAUCCCUCUGGUCCAUUUGCUAGUUAUGCUGCAGAUAUUUUUGAAAUUUUGGGCCGUUACUUUCCCAUUCAUUUUACACAUGUAAGCUCACUUAGGGCUGCACCUGCAUUUUUCUGCUAUGUUUAAUCUAGUGUAUACUAGACCAACUUUCUAGACUAUUCUUUUUUUUGUCCUUUAAAUAGUUUCUGAACUUGAUAUUGCAUGGGUGGUAUUUUUAGAGCUGACUGAUUAAGCAUAAAGAUUAAAAAUACCAGAAAAUCAAACACUUGGGGGCAUUCUUGUUGUUUAAAAUACGCUGAUUCUAGCUUUUUCCUGUGCUAAGUUGCAUUGAGGUGUUUUCCAUUGCUUUGCUUAUCUGUCUUGUGACAAAUAAAUUUUCUUUUCAAAAAUUGUUCUGAAGAAAUGCCAAUUAAAAUUUCUUAAACCUUUCGAAGAAUAACUUUUUAAGCACAUUUGGAUAGCUUAAGAACACUAGAGUAGGCCAUUAACAGUAAGCAUGAAGCCUGAUUUUAAACUUCAAACUUAUUAGUGCAUAUAGAUGCUUGGUAAGCUUUCACCAAGUUGAUUCAAUGUGGUUGUGUCCCUUUAGAACCUAUUAUCGGCAAAACCGAACUUGUAAACCUAAGAUUCUGUAAUAGAUGCUAUUCUGUUAUACUACUUUUCUCUCUGAAGCUUCUGAAUGUUUGUGGAGUUUUUAGUUGUGUAUAACCGCAUGGAUAAAAAGAAAAAAAAAAGGCCUCACAUUUGGGAUUUUCUGAUGAUAAGAGUCUUGCAUCAGCAUGAAAAAUUGUGAUACUGACUUUUUAAAGAAGGACCUGGAGGAUGGGAGAAGGCUAUAUAUUGGCUCUAUUUUUAGCAAAUUUUUUAUAGAUGUUAGUUUUCUUCUGAAACUACUUCCUUGCUAGUUGCUGAUGUUACUAAUACUAUAGAAUAAUGUAGUUGGAUAGGUGUAUAUAUUUGUUCUUGUGUUUGAUCUUUUUCUGAAUCUGUCUUCCAUUUAACUUUUUUUGGGUUAUAAUGUCCAGCCAAAAAGUGAAGAUAUUGGGGUCAGCAGGGAUGAGCUCUCCAGGGCAUUACUGGUGUGUGGCAUUUUUAGGCCUUAACUACUAUGUUUGUGGAAUCUCUUAUAAGAGAACAUUCUGUUUUGAUGGGUGAUUUUCUUUUGUCUGGAUAGUUGAUGUAACAUAGAAUAUACUGACACAUAAUACAAAACAAUUAGUUUCAUGGAUCUUCCCUAGGAUUUAUUUUCUUCUCUUAAACCAUAGAGUUGAGAGAGAUUUCUCUUGGAAUUUGAUGAAUGCUGAAUAGUGCAUAAGCUGCUUGAAACAUGCCAUCAGGCUAAUUGAAACAUCUCAAUGGGAAUGCUUCUUUUGGUGUAUCUUUCAGUUAAUAAAUGGAAUUGCUGUGUAUAAUAUAUGGUUGUUUGUGUUUUAUCGGACAUUAGCUGGAAAUUAAUUACAUGUUGGAUGUUUUGAUGGAGGAUCCAGCAAAAAAGCUACUGUUCUCCUAAUAAUCGAAAGUUAUUUAUGUUAAUAAAUGCCCAACAGUUGAAGAGAAGACACCAUUUACUAAAAGUACAACCAAAUUCUUUGUCACCUUCUGAGUGGUGAACUCUUUAAGCUUUUAAUCCAAUAAUAACCUUUUUGUAUUUUUAAAGUGUACCUGUCGAAAAUCAAUGCGUUAAAUGUGGAAUGAAUCAUCCGUCAUAGCAUUUUCUUAAACUUUGUGCCAAAUGCAAUGCUGACAAUGUUCAUGAGUUGGUGAGAUCUAGGGGAAGACAUGUUAAUGGGUAACAAUUAACCUUUUCAGCUGAUACAGCUUAUCUUUUGUGUCUUCCAGCUGGCAUUUGCUGCAACACCACUUUUUGAGCCAUUUGCUAUUCCAUUGCUGCUUGAUAAACUCUCUUCUUCUCUGCCAUCAGCAAAGGUUUGCUUUAUGUAAUAUAGUUCCCUUUCUACUUUCGUUUACACUGACAGUCUCUAUUUCUGAAUUAUAACAUUGGCUGAUAUUGCUUACAGGUUGAAUCCUUUAAGUAUCUUGGUUACUGUGCUCCGAUGUAUGGAUCAGAUAGGAUGGCCAAACAUGGUGGAGCUCUUUGGUCUUCGGUGAAAGAUGUUUUGUAUACCUCACCAGAGUCUGCUUUGUCUGUGGAGUCAGAGUCAGAUGGUGGUAUGAUUUUUGAGGAGAGUGAUAUUAUGGUUGAAGCCCUGAUCCUUUUGGAGGGGCUUAUGCAGCAAAAUAGUGAUUUGCUCUUAGAUAUGAUCCUUGGAGAUGAGGACAUCAAUAACUUCAUCUGCUCAUUUCUUAAGCCUUGGGAUAUUCAUGAUACUCCAUUGCAACUAAGACAACAACUUCAUUCAGUAGGUCGCCUUCUUGCUGUCUCUGCCAAAUCUUCCAUGGCUUCCUGCAAUAGAGUGUUUGAAAAAUUCUUUCCCCAAAUGAUGGAGGCUUUGGGCUGUUCAGUUGGAAAUCAUUCUGAUGAGAGUUUUGCAACUGAAGAUCGUGCUCUUUCUUCUAGAUUUAAUUAUGGUACCUUAUACCUUUGUGUCGAACUCCUUGAUGCAUGUAGAUGUUUGGUUUUGGGUUUCAAAGAAUCUACAUCCUUUCCUGAUUUUAUACACGAGAAGUGGUGUUGCAUGCUGCAUGGCUUUUGCAGAUCAUUAAUCAACAUCUUCUUUUCUAACUUAGAAGCUGUUUCUGGAAAUGCUCAAAGCUCUUUCGCUUAUACUGGAGGUGAGAUUUGAUUGCUAAAAGAGUUAAUAGUGCUGUGUUAGAUAUUUGUCCAAAAACUUCAAACUUGUGUUAGGGUUCCUGUGUGCUUGUUUUUAGUUUGCGAUAUUACAUAGUCCGAGAAUGUUAUCCAAGAUAAACUAAAUACACUGAUAUCAGCAAGAACUCAGCUUAGCAAGAAGUUAAGCAUGAGAGGAGGUUUGAAGUCCAACCCAUUUGGAGCACAAGGCCUAAACAAAUGUUUUUCUUGCACUUGUGUGCAUCCAGGGACGUCAGCCUGGCUGCUGACAACCCUAAAUGGAUUCUUAUGACUGGGUUUGAAGGAUAAUAUAUAUAUAUAUAUAUAUAUAACCAUGUUAAUCAUUUGCUGUGAAAUUCGAAGAUUCAGAUUGUUUAAACUUCAUAAAUCUCCAUUUUGGUUACAGCUGUUGAUGCAAGCUGCAGUUAUUCAGGGGGAUCUAUUAUGGAACCUUAACAAAAUGCUUAAUCCACAUUGAAAGAGUUAACUUUUGCUGCAAACUCAAUUAACCCCUUUUUAGACUACUAGGAUCAAAUUCCAAAUCUUUGAUUGGAGACUUCUAAUUUGACUUGUCUACAUCAUCAAAUCCUACUUAUUGAGAUAAUGGAAGAGUUGUUGACCUCUAGUUCAUUACCAUCAUUUGUACAUGGUUUUCUAGCUAAUCUUGGUUUAUUACCAUCUUUAGUACAUGGUUUUCUACCUACUCUUGGAUGUGUAAACAAGAAGGAUAAAGUUGAAUGCAAAAGAAAAGGAAGACAAUUGUUGUACUUUUGAGCAGUGUCUGUGUUUUCAACUGAGUAACAUUUUCUUUCCUAACAAAGAAAUCUUUAUUGUUUCAGGAAAAAGGGGGGUGGGGGGAUUGUGGGUUUUAUGGGCUGACAUUUAUUCUUACCAAAUUAGAAAAGUUUCAAUUAGAAUGCUGAAUGCAGUAGAUUUUUGCUUUUUGAUAACUACCAAUUGCAUAAGUUGUCCUGUACUGUUACAAGAAUUAUUUCAGUCACUAUUAGCUAGUUUUAUCAUUAAAUGGUGUCUUGUAGUUAAUCUCAAUUUCUCUUUCUUUUUAAUGUUCGAAUUGCAGUAAAGGGUUUGCAGCUUUUGGCUACAUUUCCUAGGAGCUUCGCUCCUGUCUCAUUGUUGCUGUUUGAGAACAUUCUGUUGAAGUUGGUGUCAGCCAUCACUUCUAACUUCGACAAGAAAUUCUCAUGGGGGCUGGAAUUAAAGGCAUUAGUGGAGAUUGGCUUAUAUAUUGAAGGGUAUCAAGAGUCUGAAAAGGCAGCAACUUUUGCUAGGAUUGUUGUAGACAAGUUUGUGUCUUGGAUAUCUUCUGAUGAGCCUGCUAUGCCGCUAUCUCUCAAAAUGCAAGCAAUUUGUGAAACUGGAAUGACAGGAAUUAGCAAUAUGCUGAGAAUUGUCCAAGGGAUGGAAAAGGCUAUAUCUGCCAAAUUCACUCAGGCUUAUGUAUGUAAUUGGCUCGAUUCCUUUGGUAGUAUCUUUUUGUGAUUGAGGUGUUUUAAGGAAAUUCUCUUUAAUAUGGAUGCUGCAGUGCAUUGUGCUACUUUUUGUUCUGUUUUUUCUAUACUUGUAGUGCCAUUAAAUUGGACAUAGUAACAGUUUUACUUAGUCGUUGUGGAUUACAAAGUAUUCAUCUUGCCUUCAUACAGGUUGAUGGUAAUUUUGAGUCAGUGGAAUUGGUAAUCAAGGUUCUGGAGUGCUAUAGUGCUAGGGUACUCCCAUGGUAUGUCUCUAAAUUGAAUUGCCUCCAAUCUCUUAAUUACUUGGUUUCUGCUGUCUUGCAAAAUUUUGUUUUCAUUAAACAGCAUUCUAGAUGAAGCUAUACAUUUCACUUGACUAUAUUUUAAUGAUUUGAUAAGUUAAGAUAAUGAACCUAUCUCUUCAUGUUAUGUUUGAUUUCCUUACCAAUUGGAUUUAUAUUGUGGUUGCUGAAUUUAAUUUCAUGAUCAGCACAUCCAAGACCAUGUUGGGGAACUUGACUCUUGAAUUCACAACUAAUUGCUGGUGGUUGAGAUAGUGGUGACCUUCCAUAAUGAGUUAGGAGCUCUUUUGAAAGCAAAGAAGGAUGAGACUUUUUCCUUUAUCUUUUUAUUUUUAAGCACACCAGAUUUUGCUCUUUGAAUCUUUCUAAUUUUCUUGGCUUAGGAAUGGGAUAUUACUUACAACUUCAGCUUUUUUAGUUGUUAUUAUGUUAAAUGUAUGCUGGUCGUUAAGAUUAAUCAUUUGUUAUGAUUGAUAAAUGCAUCCUAUUUCAUUUUCUCACUGACUUUGAUUUAAGUUCGUAGUUUAUUUUGUUUACUAGGCUAAAUCUCCUGCAGGAGGAAAUAUUGGAAGUGGGAUUAAGAAGCUGUUUUCUUGUAUAUUGCCACAUUCUGAUAUUUUAAGUUUAAGCUACCAACAAUUAUUUCCCUGCAGAUAGAAACACAAGCUUACAAUGGUGGUCAUGACUCCUGAAUAUAAUUACAGUAGCAGUUCCAAGUCGAAUGCUACUAUAGCUGGGUCCUAUGCUUAGCUUGCUAAACUUCACUGAUUGUAUCAUUGUAGUCAUAAAUGGACAUAUUUAAGGUUAUUCAAACAUUUAAGUGGAAAAAUCUGUUAAAAUCGCCUGAUACCUUUGUUCAGAAAUACUCACUCACUCAUUUAUCUUGUCAGACUGCAACUAUGUGUUGAUCUCAUUGGCAGAUAUUUGUCUCAAAUGCUUGUUUGUGUUCCAGGUUUGAAAUGAAUGGAGGUUCUGAGGAAGUUGCUUGGAAUUUGGCAGCUAUUAUUUGGGACAAGAUUGACAAUUCUAGUUCGGUCAAUCUCACUGUUCAAAAUUACGUAAGAAUGACUGGCAUAUUUACUAAUGAUUGAUGGUUCUCAUUGACAUCCGUUCAGUGUUUGAAUAAAGAAUUGCCUUUUUGGUUCCAUAAUCAUAUGUAAAAGUUUAGGAAGUUAAUUUAAAUAAAGCACUUCCUGAUCCUGACUAAUGAAAAUUCCUGUUUGAAAAAUAACAAGAAAACAUGUGUGUGUACUCAGGAACUUCUUGGUGCAGCUAUGACAGCAAUGAAACAAGCAGUUCGACGCUGUUCACAGGAAAGUCAGGAAAAGAUUGUCAAUAGAGCCUUUAGGGUACUAUCAGCAAGCACCUUGUUUCCUCUGAAAGAUUCACCAUUUGCCACUUCCUUGUCCAAUUCAGAAGACUCAUACCUUAAUCAUCAUGUUGACAGAGUUUCAUGUAGAGAUGAAUGGAUCAUUUCACUGUAUGCUUCAGUUGUUAUUGCACUCCGUCCUCAAACACACGUCCAAAAUUUAAAGAUGGUUUUACAGUUAUUCAUAAUGGCCCUUACAAAAGGUCAUAUUCCUUCGGCUCAGGCAUUGGGUUCUUUGGUUAACAAAUUGCCUUCAAAAACCAAUGAAAGGCAUUUGUCACAAGAAUAUGGUGUGGAAGAGGCAAUAGAUGUGAUACUAACAAGUAGCAUAUGGAAUUUCUGCCAGAGUAAUACUCUCAGAAAAUGCUCUUUGUUUGGUGGUGGCAAUGAGAUACAUAAUACUAAGUGCCUUGCUGGUUUAAAUCAUACCUCAGUUCACAUUUCUGCAAUUGUUGGACUGGCUUGGAUAGGAAAGGGAUUGAUUAUGCGAGGUCAUGAAGGGAUAAAGGACAUCACAAUGACUUUUUUAGGUGUCUUACUUGAGAACACCAAUAAUGGGGAUUUUCCAGAGUCAUGUGAUCCAAUUGAAGGCAAAGAGCAAGUAGUGAUCCCUCUAAUGAAAUCUGCUGCUGAUGCAUUUCAUAUUCUCCUGAGUGAUUCCGAAGAUUGUUUGAAUAGGAACUAUCAUUCAGUGAUACGGCCACUUUACAAGCAACGGUUUUACAACUCUGUUAUGCCCCUUUUAUUAUCUUCGACAAGGCAAUCUAAUUCAAUAAUAACUAGGUACAUACGGAUAUACCUCCAAAUUUCCUCUCCUUAGUAGUCCAAUGUUCUGAUUUCUUCUAGGUAAAUGUUGCCUCAAGCCCCUUCUGUUCUUAUUCCUUCGUGGAUCUAAAGCCAUGUAUUGUUGGCAUUGUACUCCUUGAUUUAAUUUUUCUGGUUUAAGUUUGAAACUACGAAGCCUGCUACUUCUCCGUUGUCCACCUUAAUAGCUUUUUAUGCCUGCUGUAAGCAUCACUAGUAGAAGAUUUUCCUCUCUCCGGUAUGGUGAUACUAGCAUGAGCUCAACUUUCUUCGUAGUUAAAUGUCAUGUUUCGAACAGUGAGAUUUUGCUCAAGCACCAUUCACCAGUUCCCCCCAAGAUUUUGUGUUUUGCCCCCUUUUGUUCAGUAGCAGUUGCAUGCUUUUUCUCUUCUCUCUACUUUCAUGUGCUUGAAUCCUUCUUCCUUCAGGGUUGUUAAUUCUAAGCAUUCCAGCAGGCGAGGUACAGGCUGGCAACAUGUAGUGUUCAAGUGUGCAUUGCAGUGUCUAGAUUGGUAGCAUCAGUUAGGACUUGAAGAGUACUGCAGGCUUGUAAUUUUGUUGUAUUUAUACCUAUCAGAGAGAACCACGUUGGUCCCCGAAGGAACUAGAAGAUAUUCAUCAUAACUUUUCUUUAAGUACUUUGGAGCCAUGGUCUUAAAUGUCUAUCGCUAAACUCUUAAAUCGUCAUUUUGGAUGAUGGAACUGUCCUGUCAAUACUUUUGUGAAUUGUGGCUUAACAAAAGCUACUGUUCAAAUGUUUAGAAGCAUAAUACAGUAACCUUGUUUGUGACUGAUAUUGGAAUUGAUGGAAUAGAGUAAUGGAAUAGAAUGUGCUCUUCAUCAAUCUUAAACAUAUGUAUGCACUCAAGUACUAAAGAUUGUGGUAAACAACCUGUUACAGAUCCAUGCUAUUCCGAUCAUUUGCACAUGUAAUAUCAGAGACCCCUCUGUCUGCUAUGAUAAGUGAAGCUAAUAAGGUUAGUAUCCUAGAACUUCCUGCCAAUUCUAUUUUGUUCUUGUUUGGGUUUGGGUUGAUAAAUCUACUGCAAAAUUGGGCCCUUGUCUGCAGCUCAUUCCCUUGCUUCUAGAUAGCUUGUCCACCUUGACUGAGGAUGUUAUGCAUAAAGAUGUCAUCUACAAUGUCAUUCUAGUCCUAUCUGCAAUUUUGAUGGACAAAAAUGGUAAGGGUGUUGUUCCAUUGUCUGAUAGAAUUUAAUGUCCCUACUGAACGAUAUUACAGAUUUUCUUUCAUGAAUCUGCAAGUUCUUUGAUUUAUGAACCAAGUUUAACCUCUUGGUCCAGGACAAGUAGCUGUUUUGGAAAAUGCACAAGCCAUAAUUAACCAGCUUAUUGGGCUUGCGGCGUAUCCUCAUAUGAUGGUAAAAAGAAUUUUUUAAUUGAUAUCUAGCUUUUUCUUCAUGAUGGACAAAUCCAAAAACUAAUUUGGUACACAAUUAAUGUGGGUAACAAACACUUGUGCAUAUUUAUGUCUAAGCAAAAAUGAAUUUGAUCAGAUGUGAUUCCUUUAUAAAUUCUGUAAAAUUGUUCUCGUAAUGUUUUAGGUAAUUCGAGAGACAGCAAUUCAGUGCCUUGUUGCAAUGUCUGAACUGCCUUAUGCGAGGAUUUAUCCAUUGAGAACAAAGGUAGCAGUUAGUUAUGUUGCAUGUCUACGUGAACUCAAUUAUGUGUAACCAAUGAUAUAUAAACAUUAUUUUCGUGAUUUCAAAUAUUUUGCCAUAUUGUCUUUGUCAAUUAUCAAUUACUAGGAAAGCUGCUUUUGUUGAUGCACUCUCUCAUUUCUCUACUUUUUGCGCAACCCAAUUCUGUCCAUGUGCAUGAAUAUGCAGUUACAUCAUUUCAUGCAUACUAAAGAAUGUUCUCUAUAUCCUUAUAAGGUUUUACAAGCUAUAUCAAAAGCCUUGGAUGAUCCAAAGAGGGCUGUCAGACAAGAAGCAGUCAGAUGUCGCCAAGCUUGGUUUGGGCAAUCAAAUAAAUGAUGGUGUUCUUUUCCUUCUUCAAUAGUGAAGGUUAUAAUUAGAUUUUGCUCACUGGCAGCUGAUGUUUUUGGACAGGGCAUCAAUUGCCUCAAGAAGCCUUCACUUUUGAAAUACUAAAUAACAUCGAGUUCCAAGGCUUGUGAGAUAAGGUUUACUAUAUUGCAUCAGAAUUAAUGGUAUUAGAAGUACUGCAGAUGGGAAAUAAUGAUGAUCUUUGCUCAUUUGUUGCUCUCAGGGAAGAUGAAGAAGUACCAUUGUCAUGCUAUACUAAUCUUUCUUGGUAGCUGAAACUGGAAACUACUCAGUCAUGCAUCUCAAAUUGCAGGCAUGCCCCUUCUAUCUCGUAGUAUUGCAUUGUGUAACAAUAAAAUGUUACCUAAAAAGUUUGCAGGUUUACUUUAGAGAAGCUACCUAGAUACCUGGAAAGAAGGGAUAGAUUUCCAAUGUGUUAUUGUGAUCACUUAACUGCAAUAUAAAGAUCCAUUGAGGCAUAUUUACCAUAAGUACACGAAAUGAUAUAUCAGCAAAUUGAGUAAAACUAGUGGCACAAUAAAUUAUCAUGGAAUUGGGUGUUUUCUAUUUUAAAGCGAUGAAAUAAAUCAUGUUACUGAACCAUUUAGCAUGUAGCUCUUGAUGACUCAAUUGUGUGUUCCUUUUCAGCUUUCUUAAGCAAGUUGGAGUACCUUCUAGUCAACAAUAGAGGACUGCAGGGAUAACGCAUUCUUCAUCUUGCCUGCUGUUCGGAAGUGUAGAUGAUUUUUUGCUUUCAAUUGAGGCAGACAAGUGAUUGUCCUAAAUUGUUAGCUAGUGUCAACAUUGCCAUUUCUUGGUCACCCUUCGGAGUAAUUGGAGGAUUUACCAUGUCCUUGGUAGUUUGAGACUGACAUAUAUUGCUCUGAUAAAAGUGUUUCAAGAGGUCUCCAAGUUUCUGAAGCCGCUAUAUAUGCAGCUUUGUUGCUGAAUAGUUCUAUUGGAGAAUGAUAUCUCACCUUAAAAUGUGAGUUUGGGAGUUUAGAGCAUUGAUUUGUUUCAUUAGGAUGUUAAUGUAUAUAGCUUAAUUAGUAGAAGUGUGCUAAUUGCCUUUUGUUCAAUGGGGGCAUUCUGCUUGCAGUCACAAGGUACAGCAAUCAUGACCAUGUAAACUUAUUGCAAUUCCUCAACAUAACAGGAAACAGCGAAAGAAGAAAAUGACUGCAUCUUAUUCAGUUAUGUUCGCAGUGUCAAAGUUCUUUUCAAUAUUAACUUUCAGUCGUCCUUUUAGCUUUCCAUAGUCUAAUAUAUUGGACAUUUUCUCUUGCCUCUGAUUUUUUUUUUCUCGUGACGUUAUCCAACACGAGGAAUUCCAAAGGUGUUAUGAAAUUAUUUUGCUUUUCCUUGGUAGUUCCAAAAUGACCGACUUUGAAUUUCAAUCUCACAUUCGAUCGUUCUUGUUGAUACUUGAAUACCUUCCUUCUUGGGUUAGUUAUGGAAAUUCAAGAACAAAUCUUCUAUAUCCCUUUUAAUUAUAAGGUGAAAAUUUUCCCAAAUCCAAUUAAUUUGGUUUCAUAACUUAUUUUAUUUUUUUUGUGUGUGUUUAAUCACGAAUACGAUAAAAGCCAAGAUACAGGUAAAUCAUGUCCAAAUUUCAGGCAAAAUUUUGUAAGUUGUAAGCAACAUAAAAAGAAAUGAGGGAAAAAAUCCAAAAUUUAGAAGACAGGAAAAAUUUCGAGUUAUCAAAAUUUUCACAAGAAGCAAGGCAAAAAUCCUAUAUCCCAUUAUAUUUCUGCUGUCACUAAUUGACUCUUGCACUCUCUGACUCUGUAUAGUAUCAGUUGGAUAAUUCCGUAUAAACACAUUCAAUCAGACAUAUCAUAUUCGCCUCCACUGGACUGAUCUGGCUCCAUAUCAUCCACACUCUUCUGUGAUUGACCAAGGCCAUCUUCCAUGUCCAAUCUUGCUCUCUUCGAAUUGAAACCACUCCCUUUUGAUGCUGAAUAACCCUACAAACACGAGGAACUCAAAGAUCAGCCAGAUGUUCUUGAUAUUUUUCAAAAGAAAGAAGAAAAAUAAAGGUUAAUUGGCAUACCCCAACUUCCUUCAAUUCUAUUGCGGCUACAGUUGAUCUCUUCCUUACAGUCAAUCUCGAAGGUACAGGAAAAUGUUCAACUUCUUCGCUUGAUUUCCCUUCUCUAGCUCUCUUUUUUCUCAAAAUUAGCUUCGUCGGUAGAGGCUGCAUCAAAAUAUACUCUGUGUUAGCAAAAUCCUCAUAGAGAGCGUUUCCACCCCUCAACGAUAAAUGCCAAACUUUAAGUACAAGUAAAUAAAGUAACACUAAAGAGCUCAAAUAACAUACCAUAUAGUGCGCCUCUGAUUCGCCAAAGGUCACAAGAUAAGUUGCGGGGUCGUCCGCAUCAUCCCCUCGAACCUGUCCAUACAUGAAGGAUGUCUCAGUCAGCAGAUGCAGUAAAAGUAUCUAUAGAAAAACUAAAGAAAGCAUACAUACAUCCCAAUGAUAUUCACGAAUCCAGGAGUAUGAAACAUCUUCACUUUCGUCAUAGAUAUCCUUUGAUAGCUGGAACGAUAAACACAUAUACAUUGACGAUCAUACAAAACUGAGAGAAAAUCAGUCACGUUGAAAUUAUAUUGCCAUUUUUCCUCGAGUAAAAAUUCAACUACCUCAUUAGGUGAAGGAACCAUAUAAGCCAAAAAUUUAUCAGGUUUUGCCAUAUCAGAGCUGGUAGCCACAAAACUUUUCAUAAUUGCCUGCAAUCAUGAACAUACUUGUCACAAAACUCUCUCUUACUAUGUUUAGUAAUUAUGAUUGAGAAACUGGUAAUAUAAUCUGGAAAAAUUACAGUAUUCAGUGACAAGAUAAUCAAUCCACUUUUUUUGGGUACAUAAUCAAUCCACUUAGAAUUGUUGAGACUUCAUAGAAGUAAUCAAUCCACUUUCCACUUAGGACUGUUGAGACUCACGGCAAUUGGUGACAAGAUAUUCAAUCCACUUAGAACUGUUAAGACUUCAUAUGAAAUAAACAAUGUGUACAAAAAUUAAAGGUGCUAGAAGAAUUUAUGAAUUUCAUAAGGGUUAAACAGCAGUAAAUUCAGUAAAUUCUUAGUCACAUCACAAAAUCCCCCCCCCCCAACACCCUGCAAAAAAAAUGACAUGAAUAAAUUAGUAUGACAAAUGUGGGGGCCAGGAAUGAGAAAAUCCCCUUGCAUCCCUCCCCUCCACACAAUCACUAAAGGCUGCGAUAAUACAACUGAAAAUAGAACAUCCAUAUUAAAAUCUCCUCCUUUCCCUCUAACUCUUCAACCUGUAAGAAAAGGUUGUAUGAUUUGUGUCUCGGAUAUACUAAUCCUCCACGAGGGAACUCAAGAGUAAUCAAUGGUGGGCCAGUGAACUAACUCUUGACAGUCUGACUUCAAUGUGCAAAAUGAUGUAGUAAAUACUUUGAUGUAUACAAACACGAAUUAACAGAUUUUACCUGAGAUUCAUGUGAAUCACGGAUACAUUUAUCCAACUUGCUGUAAAUUUCUGAGUCAGCAGUAGGAGCGCUAUCAAAGUUUGCUACAACAAACUGGUCAUCGUACCUGCCAAAUCAGCAGUACUACAUCAACUUUCACAUAAAACCAAAGCCAAUUCACUUGAAGAAACAGUCAAUCAGCUAUAAGAAUCAGAGCCCAAAAAGCCAUUCUUGCAGGUAAUACGACACUUCUUGUUUCUUUAUGGGGUCAACUAAAAAUAUUUGAGACCUUAAACAGGUAAUGUGAAUCUAAAAUCAUGUCUGCGCAUGAAUGAAAUUUCUAAUUAGACUCCAACAUUAUAUCCCAUAAACAGAUGUACCACUUCUGGACAACUGUCCAGUUUCAGCAAGACAUUUUUUUAAAGUGAAUUUACUAAAACAUCAUAUCCUUCCAGUUCUCUUCAAACUCCCAACAAGAGAAUAAAAUUUGUUUCCAGAACUCCAGAAGAAGACAAAAGAGCAUUAUUUAGUAUGUUUUCUCUUCUCAUCUUUUCUUUUCUUCCCUGCACUCCCAAACAAGGCCUAAAUGACUUUGUUCCCAACUGAGUCUUAGAUACAAGUAGAACUACAGUAUACUGUAACUAGACAGACCUUUUAAUAACCCAAGGACUUCAAAGGCUUGUAUAGUUACCCAUACAAGUAGAAAAAAAAAAAUAAACCCUAAAAGACUGUGUUUAGAAUACAAAUUCUAUCCAAAAGCAAGGGUACAAUAUGUAGACACUUCCCCUCUUCCUGUACAUAACUGCAAAUAUAAGUGCUAAUAGACAAUUACUGGCUUAAAAAUUAUGCAAUGAAGAUGAAAAAUGAAGAGAUCUACCGAUCAAAAUCAGGAAAAAGCGGGAGAAUAUCAACAGCUUGUAAUCUAGAAUUAGUUGCAUGAAUAGGCCUGGCCUUGCAUGCCUCAAAUGAAGCCUGAAUUUCCUGGAUCUGUCUUUCCCUGAAAAUUACAAUAUAUCAUUUUAUAUGGCCCCAACAAUCAGAAUGUUUUUAUAUGCACCUCUUCACAUGGAAAAUAGUAUUUAAGCUCACAACUAACCUGCUAUUAAGAUUCUCCAAAAGAUUGCGACCUUCUCGCAAUUCUUUUGCCUGCUUUUCAGUGAGAGACUACAAAGAGAAUCCAAGUUGUAACUUCCACCCCGGCAGUUCACAUUAAAAUAAACAUCUUCAGACCAAAUCAUGCUGAAUGGUACCUGUUUAGACGACUCCAUGCUAAGAGGAGAAAUAUAUUGGGUUUUGACCAGCCAAGAAACACCUUGGUCGGUGGGCCUUUCUUUCCUUUUUAUGCCAUCUUUCUUAAUUGGGGUUACAGGAUCAUCAUCACGUAAUAAUUCCUCAUCCUCGGGAUCUAGUUGCAGGCUUCUGCCUUUGGGUGGACUAAUCGAGAAAGAAAUUAUGAAAGAUCACCAUUUUCAUGCUUUAAAGAUUUGUAAUUAAUUUUGGGGGAAAAGAAUUGUCAAGGACAUACUUAUACACGCUGAGAUCAAGCAAAUCCAGUGGUAUUCCAAGAUCCGGUUCAACAUAUAGUUCAGGUUUGUGCAUUUUCUCCAGAGAAGUGAUGGCAUAUUUUGUAAACCUGCAGACUUGGUUACCAAUCUAACAAAGGAACUAAAAACUAGAAAUAUUGAAUGGAAGGCAAAUAUGAGGCAGAAUCAAGUAAGGGAUAGAUAUUUUCUUAGUUAUUACUGCACAAGUUUUCUGCAAAAUCAGAAUCAAAAUUUUGCAGAAGUGAACCUCCGAUCAUAUCUAGUAAGCUGGGCAGGCGUACAUUCAGUAAAAUUGUAUACAUAGUCAUUAUUCAUGGUUGCAAUUUAUAAUGUAUGAAUAUGAUGUGUGAAAAGUACUUGACACAUUCCAAAUAGAUCUAAAUCUUGAGGUUCUAAUGGUAGAACUGUUAUCAAGGGUUGAUGACACAUUAUGCGACACAAGUGCUAGAAAGAUUAAAUUUCCCAAGAAAAAGGUUAGUAAUGGAAGUUCCAGCAUUCAAAAUGUAGGAAAUUGGAAAUAUAGAACCCAGCCAUGCAGUGACUCUCAUUGCAAGUAAAUCGAGCAUGACACACAACUAUGCUGGAACUCAGAGCAAACAUCAACCGUUCUAAUGAAUAAACGGAAUAGAGAAAGGGAAGAGAGGCAGAUGUUUCCACAUUCAUUAAAGUUGCAGGCUGCUUAUUGGAUGAUUCACUUCUGUCAUAAGUCAUCUUCAUAGCAACUCUUUUUAUAAAACUUCAAACGGCUUGACAUGUCAUGUAGAACCGUGUUCCAUGCCUCCAAUUAAAUGAGCAAUUUUGUUAAAGUUCUCCACCAUUUAAACAGAAAAACUUGAUGGUAUUCCUGAGAAAGGUUUAAUCUCACUCUAAAUGGUAAAGAGUAAAUGAUCACGUCCAAUUUCUACAAAGUUUUGUUUUCAUACUCAGUUUCCUGGACAAGGCUACAAUUUCGAUUGAUUGAUGAUCAUCUGCGACAAUCCUACAUUUCCCUUUACAAUUAAUCUGUUAGGAAAUUAUGCUGCAUAGCCCGAAUAAGGCUCACAUUCACUCCCCAUCAAACCACAAUCUCUUUAAUAAAAUCAGUAUUCAAGCCAGCCAUUUCCAUCCUUCAAGGUAAUAUGCCAAAACUUAGUUCUAUCACAUCAAGACCAUUAAAUUUUUCAAGGAAAAAGAACAAAAAACUUCUUGCCCUACAGGUCACAUUAUCGUGAAUUAAGAUUUUAAUUUAUUGACAAGCUUAUGAUUAGUUAGCAUACCGACUAUAUAAACAGAGCCACUAUUACAUAAUUCAUUAAAAGGAGGAGAAGUGAGUGGCAGGAAGAAAAGCAGGAAAAGGUUUCUUACCGAUCUUUAUCUCUCCUUAAAGAUGUAAGCUUUGGUUGUGCUGUCUGAUCAGGUAAUUCAUUCCGGAAUCUGCAAAGAUUACAAAAUCAAAUCAAUGAUAUUCACACAGCAAAAAGUGAAGAGCAAAAGGAAAGCUUUUUCUUUUCAUGGGAAAAUAUAACACAAUUAGCAAAAACGACAAAAGUGAAACAUCAAUUGAAACAGUAAGUGAUGUGUAGCAUCAUCAGAUACAGAAAGCCCUGCAACUUGUUCUUCCUUUGAUCAUAAAAAAUGCACGACCACAUUCUCUUCAAGGAAAUGAAAUGUUCUUUGCAAGUUCAGAAUGCUUAUAACAGUUUCUUUUUGCCAGAGAGGAAAUAAUUCCCUUAAAGUGGUGACCUUGGCCAGAGACUGGAGGCAGGAAUGAAUAAAUCUCAAUAACUUUAAGUUUACGUGCAGCAGAUAUGCGGCUAGGGCUAGGUUGGAUUGUAUUUGGGUUGGAUCUACUGUUUAUGGAUCGUUAGCAUGGCAAAAGAUGACAAGCAGUUUUAAGUUUGAGAUGGGUUUCCAGGAGUGCGCCAGUGAAAGUAGGCUAGGCUUGAUGCAGAAGAGAAAGUAGAACUCUUAGCAUCAUGAUUUUUCACUUCUUUGAAGUCACCCUUAUGGGUUAGGUCAACGGCUAUAUUUUUAACUUACAAAUCCAACACAAUAGCCAAUUUAUUUCAGUAAAAUGCAUUUCUCAAGAAAAAUAAUAAACAGAAAGUUAUCAGCUUGUUGGAACUUAUUAUUUUGUAUAUGUCCAUGGUAUUCUUUUAAAGACAUCAUAGCUUAGUGACCAUUGACAACCCAAUUUAAGAAGACACUAAUGGAUUUUGUUAGCUUAAGAGAAAGGAUGCCACCUGUCAAACUAUUGAUACUACAAAUCCACAAUCGACCUUGCUAAUUCAAAGUUGGAUGCACACCAAAAUUAACUUUUAACUUGUUUGAAAAUUUUUAAUGCCAUCCUUGUGAUCAUCCUCCAAUCACAAUCAAACAAGUGUUUAAGGGAAAAACAAAGAAUAAACUUUUAAGCAAUUGAAUAGCAUGGUAUAUGUUUUGUGUAAUAUGUUCUCUCUCGAACGUUAACUCAAAAUGGUCAAAAGGAAGAUUACUGCUCAAUAGGUAAUAAUUUGCUCUAUAUCAGUAAAAAUUUCACUAAUGUGCGCACACAGAAUUCACAUAUGCACGCAAUAAAUGCUUUACCAAAAUCUAAAGUGCACCACUCAUAUCGCUAGUGUAAGAACAAAACAUUCUUAGAAAUUACUGUCAUAAUGGCAUGCUAUAAACAUCCUCAUGUUGGUUAACAAGAUAAUGUCUAACCAUCUAAACUUUCAGCACUACAACUGUGUCACAAUCAAAUCCACAUAAACAUGUGCCCUUAGAAGGAAAAGGACAAAUCUUUAAGCAACAACACAGAUCCAAUUGAUGUUUCAGCAUACUCACUUUAACUUGCAAAGAAAUGUCGUAGGCUUCUUCAACCGGUUCUCAAUCCUCUCACCACUUAACAGAGGAGCAGUCCUCCUGUCACCAAUAUGUGAGCCAGUAAUCGACCCAUGCGCUUUUGUUCCAGAAGAUAUCAUUUGGGUCUUCUGCAGCACUCUACUCUGUGAUUCUUUAAUGUGCUGCCUAUGUUUUUCUUCCUGCCGUUGCUUCUCGUAUUCUCUCUUCUUCCUCAACCUCCUCUCCUCCUCUGUCUCAACCCUCCCUGGAGGCCCACUGGGCUUUCUAGCUGGAACUUGAGGAACAGGAACCUUCUGCUGCUUAGCGUUUCCCAAAUCACGCCACCCAGAAUCUCUUCCUUCCCUCGAUGGCCUUCUCUCCUCUGCAUUCCUGUUUUCCUUGCUCUGACCAGGAGGAAGUGACGACGGUAGUGGCGGAGGCGAUAACGGUGGCGGAGGAGGAGGUGGAGCGACAGAAUUAGGGGGAGGAGAGGAAGGGGGCGGCGGAGGUGGGGGUGGCUGCAAGGGUUGCAAAGGCUGGUGCUGACUGUACUGGGAGUACUGACCAGAUGGAUAAUACCCUGGAGCAGGCGGGGCAGGGCCAGGCUGCGGGGGCAAGGAAGUCGGAGGAGGAGGAGGUGGGAAGGACUUAUCCUGGAGAGGCGGCGGAGGAGGAUACUGAUAUUGUUGCUGUGCUGGCUGCGGCGGAAUUUGAUUCCGCGGAGGAGGAUUGUAUGGCUGCGGAUAAUUCGAAUUUGGCGGCAUUUGAGAAUAACCCCAAUUCUGAGAAUACUGAUUCCCUUGAGAUUGUUGCUGCUGAUGAGGGGGCAAGGCAGGAGGUUGCAAAGGAUUCUGAUUCGCGGGCCCCGGCGGCGGCGGCGGCGGCGGCGGAGGAGGUGGCCGAGGAGCAAAAGUUGACUGAGGUGGCGGAGGAAAUGGCCUAUACGACGCCAUUACAACUACUCCCCUUGCGCAACUCUGCGUUUACUACUGAACUGAAACCCUAAGUAACAUAAAUGACAGAAAUUUGCAGUAACUCACAAAUUUACCGAGUUUUAGUUGUAUGCAUUGCAUUCAUAGCCCCGUAUUAGCACGAAUUUGUAUGUAUACUAAAUCGGAAAAAAAAAAAAAACCUAGCAAUUACAAAACAGAACGAACAAAACUUCACAAAAGUUGACAGCUAAGUGCGAUUAAAUUUGGAGAAAAUUCUCCGUCCGAGGAUCGAAGAAGUUAAAUUCAAUUACAUAUAAUUCGAGAUUGAGCUGAAAGGACAGCUAAAUUCCAACCCUAGAGCCAAAAACAAUUUUAUUAUUAGAAGGAGAUUGUUUAUUUCGGGAAUCUAAUCAAAACUGAAUCAUCAAAGAAAAAAGAAUGUAGGAGAAGGAGGAAUCGAACAGCGAAAGUUAAAUCAGAAAUACACGAAAAAUGCUAUAUAACAGAGCAUCUGUACAAACAAGUGUUUGAUCGGAGAAAAAGGGAGCGGUGGAGAGGGACGCUGGGUAUUGGGAGUAAAAGGGCGGGGGUAUUACUUGAAGUUUAACUCGCUGGCGACUGCUACUUAAGAACUAGUGCAGGUGUACGCGAUAAAAAUCUAUAACGCAUCGCAGUGUCUUUUUUCGGCUGUGACCGACCGCCUUGUUUGGACUUUGGAUUGUUAGUUUUCACAGAUAAAUUUUUAUAUUUUUUAUAAAUACAUCUUUUUGUUCGUUUUACAAGUCCUCGUUGCCUAGAUAUAAUGCUGUCAUGCACCCAAAUUGAUACCACU
rnacentral:lncRNA from 1 species